rnacentral:lncRNA from 1 species
CAGCCAUCACUUAGCCACCAUAAAAAAUCGCUCGCUCACUCAACCGCGCUAUUAUUUUCGGCUUGAAACUGGUUUUUCCCUUGUUUAUUAACAUAAAACGUCUGGAACUGGUUUUUCCCUUGUUUAUUAACAUAUAAGGUGACAAUUAAGCCUCGGCGAUCUCAGCGGAUUCUGCAGCAGCUAGGAUCAGCUCCGGCUGGAUGCCUCCGACGUAUGAUCCAUCCAAUGCGUUGGGGAGUCCCAGUGCCUUCAAUGCCAAGUGAGCUGCCUUUUGCCCUGAGAUCAUCAUGGCUCCGAAUGUAGGUCCCUGCAUCCCCAAUAAUGUUACAAAUUAUAUUAUUAGGACUACGUUGAUAUCGACGGAUACCAAACCCACAAUGUUUAUAUCAAGUGGGAAUCUUAUUAGGACCACAUAAAGAUCUAGUAAUGGUACUAUUCCAAACAUAAAAGAACAGGAAAAGAAUGGAAGAGCUUUUGGACCCACGUUCUUUCGAAAUCACUAUGCAUGGAUUGAGGCUUAAGUAAUUCUACGGUCCUAAGGUGUUUUUGUUUCGUAAUUAAACGCCGAGGGGAGAGGCCACUGUCUAUCUACGCUGUGCAUUUACAUGUCAAAAUUCGAAGCUUAAAACUAGGACGUUAUGCUUGAUAAAUCAAAUAUUCUAAUCCUUAAUGUUUUAUCUAAAUCGUCUAAGCCCACCACCGCGAUCACCAUUUUGACUAAAUGUGAUCGCGAUGGCUUGAAGCGGUUGGAUAAAAUCAGCCAAGCACAGUAAUGGCUAUACCAAAAAGUAAAACAGUAAAUAAAUCAAGAACAAAUGGAAUGAGUCAGAAAUGUACCAUUCUUGGGGAUCCAUCAAUCUCGGCAACUUCCAUGCCGGUGACGAUCAUUCCUGGCACAAUUUCCCUUGUGAGCUUCACGAUAGCAUCCUCAGCUGCGUUCAUGUCCAAGGCCUUCAUCCCGGGCACGCUCUCAAUCAUCCCAACGCUCCUCAGCCUCUUUACGCCGGUGGCUCCCAUGGGUCCGUCAUGACCACAUGAGCUCACCACAACCUUGGCCUCCAUGACGUUGGGGUCCAUGCACGACUGUGUGUCGUGGUUCAUUGAGACCAAGGCCCAGUUGGUGACCACCCCACCAACUCUGCCACCCUUAAUGAUCAAGUCCUCGGCGGCCACAGCGUUGAAGAGCUUCACGUUGGGCCGGGCAAGGAGCUUGCUCAUGAUGGUGGAGGUGAAUAGGGCGGCGUGCUUGAUGACAACGUAGUUGUCUUGCUCAUCGUAGUCAAUGCCGAGCUCGUUAAGGAAGAGAUGGGCGGGUUUGCGCACAACCUAUAUAUGUCAACAUAUAAAUUAAAUCUUAAGUACUACAAAAUAUAAGACAAAAUAUUUUCAAAAUUUUCAAGUUAGAACAUUGAAAUAUUUUCGAAAUUUAUGUUGCUUUCCAAAAUUGUACUUUUAAUUUUCAUAGCAUUCAUUUCUCACUAGAACAUUUAACCAAAUAUAAGGCCAACCCAUUUAACGGAAUAAGACUUGGUUGCAAUUGUUGUAAUGUUAACUAAAUAGCGGGAUUAUCUCGCUUCCAUAAAUUCACCAUAAUCAAGCAAUCUAAUUGUGAUUCAUUAGUGCAUAGAUGAAAUCUAUAUAUAUUGUAUAUUUGGAAUUAAUUAAUAAGGAAUUACUUUUCUACAAAAUAUACAAAAUUUGUUUGAUUUACGAAUGAAAAUACAACAAUAUCAAACUAUUUAAUUAAUUACAAAAAUGGAAAUAAAGAAAUAAAUUACAAAAAAUAAAUUAACGAAUAUUUAUGCAAAUAAAAACAGACAUGCAUAACGAUACAGGUCAAAUUAUCCAAACAAGAUGGGGCAUGCGCGACACGUGUCACAGUCAAACGUUUCAUUCAUUUUACCGACAAACAUGAAUUUCAAAUUAACAAACAAUUUCCCAGAAAAAAGGCCAAAAAUUAAGCACCCGGAAACCUUAAACGACCAAAAAUGAUAAUUAAACUACAACAAAUCAUUAAUUAAAAGUUUCAAUAACUUUCCAAAAAUAUUAAAAUUAAUCAUAAAUGACAGUAAUUACCAUGGCAGAGAAGAGCUGGCCACCGAGCCAUGCACCUCCACCGGGGCUGACGGACUGCUCGAUGAUGGCGACCUGAACGUCGGGGUUCUUGCUGAGUUCGUAGGCGCAGGAUAGCCCGGCGGAGCCAGCACCGACGACAACGACGUCGGUGUCGGCGUAGGUGAUCAUGUCAGUCAUGUAGCGCCUUGUCAUCUCCCGGGAGACGAUGGAUUCCUUGAUGGGGUCGAACUUGAAAGCGCUCAAGUCGUAGGAGGGGGUCAAGCCGUUGGCGGACAUGGAGACGGAGAGGCCGCCGUUGUUGGCGGGGGCCGCCUUGGCCAGCUGAAGGCGGACCAUGGGAGCGCCAUGGAAGGAGGAGUCGAGGAGGGAGGACUUCUGGAGCUUGGCGGUGAGGGAGGAGGAGGUGAGGGUGGAAGCCAUGGUUGCCAUUGAUUGAUGCGAGAGAAGGAGAGAGAGGGAGAGAGAGAGAAGAUGAUAAGAUGGGGUGAUUUGGGGGUUUAGCGUUUGCAAGUCAGAAGAUGGAAGUGAAGAGAGUGGUUAUUUAAGGAGGAGGGUGACGUAUAUGUAAAAUUGAAGAUGGACACGUGGGAAGAGGAUAGGAUAUGAAGGGUCUAGAACCUCUUGGGAGGUACAAGUGGCAAGCAUGAACCAGUCCACGGUGUGUGUUUGAGUGUGAGGAGAGUGAAUAGAGAGGGAAAUGUUAGAUGACAAAGUUUAUAAGGGAAUUGCUAAGGCUAUUAUCUUGAAUGUGAUUUUCUACGAAUUUUCUGUCAUUUUAUGUUUUUGAUACAAUUCUUAUGUUAAUGUUAUAAAAUUUUGUGCCAAGAAUAUGAGGUGAUAGAGAGUUCAUAGGAAGUCUUACUUUGAAACAGUCUCCUUAGUAUUUCUCAAUUUGUAAACCAAAUGAUUAGAUUGUUGAUGAUCAUUUUAUUACUCAAGUGUUGAUUAAUGUGUUUAAUUUCUACUGAAAAUAUGACUUUAGCUCUUGAAACUCAAGUUUCUUUACAUAAAACCCGACAUAGUCUUUUUAUCUAAAUAAAACCUAAUGACUACGCUCCACAUAAGCAAAGUCAUUAAUUCUAUUUGCCUUUACACAUUUUGCAUUUUUUUAGAUGCCUAAAACACCCCUAAUUAAAGUUUUAAUGUAUACAUUAAAUUCUAUGCAUAUUUGAAGGGAGGGGUUAAUGAAAAAAAAAUGCAUUAAUGUUUAAAAUCACUGCAUAUUAAUAUAUCAUAACAAAUUGUAUGUUAAUGCUUCUUGGAACAAAAAAAAAGCACUAAUGUUAUACUUUCCUUAAGAUUUUGUAAUUGUUUUUCAAAUUUGCCUAAAAUUUGACAGUUUUAAUUUGAUCUUGUCAUUAUCUUACCCAAAUUGUGACAUCCCACAUCGCCCAGGGGAGUAAUCCUUAAAUGUAUAUUCUCAUCCCUACUUAACACGAGGUCUUUUGGGAGCUCAUUGGCUUCGGGUUUCGUAGGAACUCCGAAGUUAAACACUCCCAGGAUGGGUGACCCACUAGGAAGUUGCUCGUGAGUUCCCAAAAACAAAACCGUGAGGGAAUGGUAAGCCCAAAGCGGACAAUAUCAUGCUACGGUGGUGGAACGGGCUUGGGAUGUGGUGGACCCGGGCCGGGAUGUGACAAAUGGUAUUAGAGCCAAUCCCUGGCCGGAAGUGUGAUGACGAGGACGUCGGGCCCCUAAGGGGGGUGGAUUGUGACAUCCCACAUCGCCCAUGAGAGUGAUCCUUAAAUGUAUAUUCUCAUCCCUACCUAGCACGAGGAAUUUUGGGAGCUCAUUGGCUUCUGGUUCCGUAGGAACUCCGAAGUUAAGCGAGAAGGAGGCCAGAGCACUCCCAGGAUGGGUGACCCACUGGGAAGUUGCUCGUGAGUUUCCAAAAACAAAACCGUGAGGGAAUGGUAAGCCCAAAACGGACAAUAUCGUGCUACGAUGGUGGAACGGGCCCGGGAUGUGGUGGACCCGGGCCAGGAUGUGACACAUAUGAAAAUCUGAAAGGGCACUAUAAAAUUUAUCCAGUAAUAAUACAUGCAAAAUAAUUUACUUAUAAAAUUAAAGAAAUGUUAUUUGAUUCAAAAGAAAUUUAUCUAUAUUUUAUAUAAUAAUAUAGGUGAAUCAUUGCACAAAUAUAUAUUAGGAAAAAAAUGUGCCCAAUAUAUAUAUAAUGCAUACAAAUAAUUCACCUACAAAUAAAGGAAAUUUGGUUAAAAAUAAUAUAUUUACUACUUUCAAUUUUCCUAUUUUUUUUUUUUUUACAAACAUAAUGUACCUACAAUAUAAUUUACCUAUUGUUUAAUCAAAUAAAAACAUAAGGUAUCUAUUGUUUCAUUUUAAUGGUGAUAAUUUGUCUUGGUUUAGUUUUUACGAAAUAAUUUAGGCACUGUUUAACUUGACCAAAAUAAUGUAACUACCAUUUUAAUUUACCUAGAAAAUAAAUGCUAUUUGAUUCUGUUUGGACCCAAUUUUACGCCAUCGGCCCAAGCAAUCGAGGCCGUUGAGUAAACAUGAUUCUUAAUCGUCGGAUAAGAAAGUUAAGAUAAUUUGCUAUUGUUAAGAGAUAAUAUGAUGGUUUUUAAUCAUAAUAAUUAUCUUUUAAUAAAUUAUCUUAGUUUUCUUAUACAAAAUAAAUUAGAGAGAUUCUUGGACUCUUAACUUGGCCUAACAUGGAUCUGCAAGCCGAAGAUAAUGGUGGAUAGGACCUAAGCGGGCUAGGAUGUUGUCAGAUGAUGGAAGACUUGCAUGCCGUGUGAAAAGCUACAAGUUGUAUAUAUAUGUAGGCUGUAUAGUUUGCAUGCCCAUCAACCUAUGUCGUGCAAAAAUCUCCCAGACUAUAUAGUUAUAUAUAUAUAGAUAAUGGUGGUUAUUUUGAUGGGAUUAAGCUUUGAUUGAUGUGAUAAGGUCUAAGGCGUGAAUGUAGGUGCAUAAAAGAUAAAGUGGUUAGAGUUUCAUUUAUUAUGAUUAUGCAUAGGAUAAAUGAGUGGUCAGCAGCAACAGUUAGAGAGUUGAAGUCACGAACUACAAUAUGAGGAUAUGCUUGUCUUUAGACGCGGAUCAACUUCAGGAAUUAGAGUUGCAAUUAAACUCUACAAUACUAUCAGACCUUGCCAAGCAGAAAAAUGAAUACUAUAAAUACAAGACUCGGUGCAACAUUCAAAGGACCUCCAAUUCAACACACAAAACUGCCCUGCGUAAACCCUCUCAACAACUUUGAGAUUUUUUAUUUUCUUUUUCACCGGCACAUCUUCAGUUGGCAUAAAUAGCAUUGUGGAGACAACCGGUGAUAUCUUCAGUUGGCAUAAACAGCACUGUUGCCGUAGAAUCAGCCGAUCUCGCAGCAUCUUCAGUUGGCAUAAAUAGCACUGUGUCGAGGCCGACUGGUUACCUAUCUAAGUCUCGGUCGAGAAGGAUUUUCGAAUCCUUGUUGGUCUAGGUCAUCUCAUCAGCCUUCUCGGCGAAGUGAGGUGUUACGAGUUACUACAUUCGGCACAUUGGAAGCCGAAUUUGAUAUUGAACUUCGUUAAGUUAGCAACCUUGUCUUCAGGCUCUAGAACCCGAAGGCCGAGACAAGUUCCUUCCUCGACCGCAAUCGCAAGAUGCAGAAGUCAACUGCGCACCCAACGCAACAUCAACAUAUUUUACUCUUCAACCGAGCUCGGCCGACGAGUUGGCACACCCCGUACACAACCAAAUGACGUAGUUAGCUUAUAGAUUACUCGGCAUGCGUGCCACGUAGGUUUGGUAGAUUUUAGGGUCAACAUUUUGGCACGCCCAGUGGGACCCAGUGCUAAAACUACAAAGUUCACAUGAUAUAUCAAGAUCACGAUCGGGAUGAGAUUUAGCGCCUAUUCAAGGAAAUUGUCGAGCAACAAAAACGCCUUGGCCAGAUCAUUGAAGCAAAUGAAGAAAGGCGAAAAUCUUUCUCUCAAAUGAUAAAGGUGAAGGUUCAUCACAGCUUACAAGAUCAAUGGUUAAAUGAAGAUAGAGCUCAAUAUUAUGAAUGGAUCGAUAAGAAAAUGCUUAUUGGGUUCAAAUCAAUUCCAUUUGAAGAAUGGUUGGAUCAAAAAGUCGGGGGGCAAAUUUCCGCUCCGGCCACAAUCAAAAUUUGGCCUCAGAACAUUGUCGAGACGGCCGAAGAAAAACCUAGGCCACCUGUUGUCUCGAUCGAGAUUGAAAGUGUGGUAGGCCUAGAAGAAAAAAUUUAAGUUUCUGAGCCACAAAUCUACUUAGAAAAUGAUUCGUCAAAUGAGUGCUCCAAUGACGAACAAGGCCGAGACAUAGGCUUAGCCAGAAAAACCGCGCCAAUUGAUAUGAUUAUUGGUGAUAAAGCCGAUAAGGAGAAAUCUCAUUCGGUCAAGUUAUUUGAAUUAAAAGCCGAAAUUAUGCCUGGGGGCAUAAUAAUUGUUCAACACAUUGGUGGCCAAAAAUGAAAAAUAUUUCACCAAGUUAGAAAUAUUUGGAGAUGAUCUUUUAUUCAGCUUUGGAAAAUGUCAAAGUGAAAAUUUUGAUGUAAAAAGAACUUGGCUUGGAAUAAAACAUCGUUGGCCUCCUCCUCUUGAUAGCUCGGCCACUUUUGUUUUCUUUUAUUAAGAAAAGGAAUAAAUUAUUUUCUUAAUCAUCUGGCUAAUUAAGCUGAUGCAUAAGAAAAUAAGGGGGCAAUGUCCAAAAGGAAUAGAUUUUGGCUGUCUAGGCCGAGGCAGUCUAGGCCGAGGCAGAUUCAGGUAAUCGGAUGUUUAGGCCGAGGUAAUCUUUUUUGCCGAGCUCGGCGAAAUUGGAUGCGUGCAUGCGAAUUUUUUCCUAAUGAUGGUAGACUUAUUCAACAAAAGUGGAUAUUUAAUUAGAUAUAGGCUUUAGCCUAUGGAUGUGGCUAAUGGGGAAUUGUCAGAAUACCAUUGGAAAGACAAAUAUAUAUAUUUUAUAUAAGUAAGACUCAGCCAUGAGGUUUUAUAGUCGAAGUUGGGUUGUCAAAUCCAAGAGUUAGGAUAUUUAAUGAGCUUCGGCCUUGGAUCAGUAUAUAUAUAUAUAGGCGCUGCCAAGAAAAAUUCUUCUAGACCUUGGUUUAGGUUUUCUCGGCCUCAGCCUGUUUUACCCUUUACCCCAAUUCUUUUCUACCCCUUCCCGAAUUCUUCUCGACCUUCUGGAGAGUUGCCGAGCCUGGUAUAGAGUUGCAGCAGUCGAGGAGGGCCGUGGCGUUGGCAGAACAUACAUGUUAUUUCCGAGGAACAAAAUUUGUUUCGGCAAUACAACGAAAUGUUGUCGGCUACGAACAGUUAAUUUCCUUAACCAUUCAGUUUACGAGCCGAAGCUCAAGGAAACUGGGAGGCAAUGUUUGGACCCGAUUUUACGCCAUCAGCCCAAGCAAUCGAGGUCGUUGAGUAAACAUGGUUCUUAAUCGUCGGAUAAGAAAGUUAAGAUAAUUUGCUAUUGUUAAGAGAUAAUAUGAUGGUUUUUAAUCAUAAUAAUUAUCUUUUAAUAAAUUAUCUUAGUUUUCUUGUACAAAAUAAAUUAUAGAGAUUCUUGGACUCUUCACUUAGCCUAACAUGGAUCUGCAAGCCGAAGAUAAUGGUGGAUAGGACCUAAGCGGGCUAGGAUGUUAUCAGAUGAUGGAAGACUUGCAUGCCGUGUGAAAAGCUAUAAGUUAUAUAUAUAUGUAGGCUGUAUAGUCUGCAUGCCAUCAGCCUAUGCCGUGCAAAAAUCUCCCAAACUAUAUAGUUAUAUAUAUAUAUAUAUAUAUAUAUAUAUAUAUAUAAUGGUGGUUAUUUUGAUAGGAUUAAGCUUUGAUUGAUGUGAUAAGGUCUAAGGCGUGACUGUAGGUGCAUAAAAGAUAAAGUGGUCAGAGUUUCAUUUAUUAUGAUUAUGCAUGGGAUAUAUGAGUGGUCAGUAGCAACAGUUAGAGAGUUGAAGUCACGAAUUACAAUAUGAGGAAAUGCUUGGCUUUUGACGCGGAUCAACUUCAGGAAUUAGAGUUGCAAUUAAACUCUACAAUAUUAUCAGACCUUGCCAAGCAGAAAAAUGAAUACUAUAAAUACAAGACUCGGUGCAACAUUCAAGGGACCUCCAAUUCAACACACAAAACUGCCAUGCGCAAACCCUCUCAACAACUUUGAGAUUUUUUAUUUUCUUUUUCGUCGACACAUCUUCAGUUGGCAUAAACAGCACUGUAAAGGCAACCGGUGAUAUCUUCAGUUGGCAUAAACAACACUGUCAUCGUAGAAUCAACUGAUCUCGCAACAUCUUCAGUUGGCAUAAACAACACUGCGUCGAGGCCGACUGGUUAUCUAUCCAAGUCUCGGUCGAGAAGGAUUUCCGAAUCCUUGUUGGUCGAGGUCAUCUCAUAAGCUUUCUCGGCGAAGUAAGGUGUUACGAGUUACUACAUUCGGCACAUUGGAAGCCGAAUUUGAUAUUGAACUUCGCUAAGUUAGCAGCCUUGUCUUCAGGCUCUAGAACCCGAAAGCUGAGACAAGUUCCUUCCUCUGCCGCAAUCGCAAGACGCAGAAGUCAGCCGCGCACCCAACGCAACAUCAACAUAUUUUACUCCUCGGUCGACGAGUUGGCACGCCCCGCACACAAUCGAAUGACGUAGUUAGCUCAUAGAUUACUCGGCAUGCGCGCCACAUAGGCUUGGUAGAUUUUAGGGUCAACAGAUUCAAAAUUAAUUUACUUAUAUUUUACUAUAAAUAUAGAUAAAUUAUUUUUAACAUGCAUAUAUAAUAACAAAUAAAAAAUGCCUAAUCUAUGUAAAAUAAUUUACCUACAACAUAAAGAACAUUAAUUGGUUUUAUUUUUUAUUUUUUAUCAAACAAUAUUAUUUGAUGCAAAAUAACUGAUUAUACAAAGGAUUUUCAUUUUUCAUACGAAAAAUGUGCCCAUAAUUGUUUAUGAAUAUGGAUAAAUUAGUGUAUAUAUAUACAUGUUACUAAUAUUUAUGAUACAAGAAAGGUAAAUUUCCAUAUGGGGUUAAUUGCUAAUCAUAAUUAGGGUGAGUAAUAAUAUUUAUUGACAUAAUUAGGGUUUUGUGGCAUAAGUUGUAAAUAUGUUGUAAUAAUUGGUUACAUAUUUGUCUACAUGGUAGUCUAUUUGAAUUUUGGGUUUUAUUUGAAUAUUUAUUACUGGGUGGGUUUUUGUUUGGAAAAUAGGAGUUUCAAGGGCCUUUAUCUAAAGAACUGACACACCCCGAUCCUAGAAUCAAGGUGUGCUGGCCGUCACGUGAGCGUGACGUAACCAAAAGAGCGAUACGGAAGUAAAAGAUAAAAGAAAUACGAAGGAAUAAAAACCAACUACUAGCAAUAAUAUCCAACUAACAUGCUAGAGUGAGUUUAAGUGUGAAACACACAUAUUCAGAGCAUAAGUACUAAGUGCAGUCAAGUAGAACCAUUACUAAAUUACAACACCCGAAAGUGAGUCCUACAUUUAAGUGGUCUAUCAUAACGCCAUGGGAAUCCUCGUGAGCCACCAACAUUGCUAACUAGAACCUGGAGGGGGCAAAACAAGAUUGAGUGGGUCAGUAAAACAAAUCUUUUUCAAAAACAUUAUCUUUUUUCAAAGGUUCUAACCCCUCGCCGUAAAACCUAUAACUUUCCCAGGAAUAUAAAAAUAUAAUUACUUAUCUCAAAACCAGCUCAGAAAUAGUGAUAUGUAAAGUAUAUGCCAUGUUAAAUAUAUUUCAUCAUAUCAUAAGUAUAUCAGUGAAGUUCAUCAUAAAUAAUAACAUGUCAACCGAGUGAUCAGCCCGGCUGAAACUAUAGCUCAUAAUCAAUCUCAUCAAUCAAUCUAGCCGGAGUCACCACAAGUGACCUGUACGGCACUACACUGCACAUAAAUCGGAACUACCUGAAGUAGUCUAUACGACAAGAAUGGUGUAAGAAUACGCUCUAGUGCUUCUCUCAUCAACAGCUGUAUAAUAAUUUAAAGUCACCUACAAGUCGAAACCACCUCUAAUGGUCUGUACGACAUGUCAGAACCACCUCUAAUGGUCUGUACGACAUGCCCCUACUUGGAUCCAAGGUGAGCGUGUGGUGCGGGGUGAAUAAUAUAAGCACUAACACCAGGGGUGCAGGUUAUGAGCUCUCAACAUAAUUUACAUCAUCAACAGUCUCAUAAUUUUAAUUUAUGAACUUACCUGGCACUUACCUGUGCGUCUGUAUCACCAAUCAUGCAUGUAUGCAAUUACUAAUGCAUAAAUAAAAUAGAUAUAUAUUUUGCAUGGCAUUUCAUAACGCAUUUCAUAUCACAUUUCACUUAAAUUGAUUUUCUGGGAAAAAUCUCAUUUAUAUAGGUAUAUACAGAAAAUAAAACUGCCCACUCACCUGGAGUUCACCCUACAACUCCCUAGCACAGCACAUCAAGGCGUCAUGACGAUCGGCGCCUAGAAUAAUCAUCAAGACAUGUCUCAGAAAUCAUAUCGAUAGAACAUAACUUAUAUAAAACACGUCACUAUGUAGAUCGAUCCGGAAAAUCUGCAACUCAGAUUUCUGAUCUGAAACUUCCAGAGAUCUACCUCUAGGACAACAUCCUAAAAUUUCAUUACCAUCCAACGAUCGGAUCUCCGUCAAUUGCCAAAACCAAGUAACGGUUAACAUAUUAUAAUAUGAACUUACAACUCCAAUUCCGAAAGAUCCGUAAAUCGGAUUCCCAAUCCGUAAGUUCCUAUAAUCCUCAAAUAUUACGUAUUACAAGGUAUCAAAGUUUGGUGACGAUCCAACAGUCAGAUCGUCAAUUCACAUUUUCACCUAACCACGAAUCGAAACGAACUUAGGUUCAAUUACUCAAUUUACGUCAAUCAAUUAUCAAAAUUGAACCUAGAACAUUAAACACAUGCUAAGAAUGACAUUGACAGGCCACUGGCCACGCGCCGCCGCACUGGCUCGCCGGUAAAUCCAACUAUCUCAAAAAAUUACCAAAAUUUAUAGAAAUGAAGAUCUCAAUGAGUAGAGUAAACUUUAUACCUGUGGCCAAGGCCAAUUUGGCCUGGAAAGGCUCCAAUUUCAUCAAACCCGUGAAGAACCCUAGAAAUGGGUGUUUUCAAUUCGACCUCCAAAACCACUCCGAUGCUCCAACUAAUGCUUGGGCUUUGUUCUAGGUCCUAAGGGAAUGCUAAUGGUGUUAGUAAUUGAAAGAAAACGCUUCAAGAUUUGAAGAAUUAGUAAACUAAGCCACCGCACACACCAUACGGUUUCAUCCAAUUUCAAGGCCAAAUUCUUUGAUUUUUUGGGUGUAAUAGGAAGAGGGAAGAUCAUAGACGGUUUUCCAAGUGAUGGUUUGAAGUAACUCACUGGAAAAAUGAAGAAAUUUUGACGGAAACGGGUGGAAAACCCACCGGGUCGCGCGGGUCAUGGGUUGAAAACCCAUUUCUGUCUUCUUCCUCCGUUUCUCGCCCUCUCUCCUUUCCUCCUUUUCCCUUCUCUGAUUGGCCAGAAACUUCUCUCUCCUUUCCCCAUUCGCCCAGCUUCUCUCCCGAAACUUUCCUGGAGCUGUCUUCUUCUUCCUUCUGGUUGGGCAGUUUUGCCCGACCCUCUUUCUUCUUUUCUCCACCAGUCACGCGCACACACACAUACACAAAACUUUCCUUCAUCUUUUUAUUUAUUUUUUAUUUCCUUUCCCUUACAUCCAAGCCAUCCAUUUCAGAUUUCCUUUAAUCUGGGCCAUCCAAAUGGCACACCAAAAUUUUAUAAUAAAAUUCAUAAAAUGCCCAAACUUCAAACUUUAAAAUCUUUUUCGUUAUAACUCCAAAUCACAAACCAUCUGCGCCCACGCUUCCAUAGUGACGAAUACUACAAGGAUAUGUCAAUAAAACAAAUCUUGGAUGGCAUGACACAACAAUUAACCUCGAAUAAUGUGCGUGCCUCAAAGGGCAUUUUGUAAAAUCCUUUAUUAAAACUUUAAAAACUCUUAAAAUCAGGGACGGGCUGUCACAAGAACCCUAUUUUCUAUUGAUUGUAAACUUGGUUUAAAAAUGGUCUCUCUGAACAGAUAUUCAUAUCAGAAAUGAAUAUAUUGGGGGAAAGGGAUCCUCUUCGGAUCCCUUCCACUUAAUCAUCCUCAUCAAACAAUUUAGGCCCUUGACAUUUGAUCAAACGACUAAAUGAUAGGAGAUACAAGUGGCAAGCAUGAACCAGUCCACAAUGUGUGUUUGUGUGUGAGGAGAGAGAAUAGAGAUGGAAAUGUUAGAGACCAAAUUUGUAAGGAAAAUGACAAGAAGAUUAUCUUAAAUGUGACUUUCUAUGAACUUUCCACUAUUUUAUGUUUUUGAUACAAUUUUUGUGUCAACGUUAUAAAAUUUUGUGCCAAGAAUAUGGAAUGACAAAGAGUCCAUGAAGAGUCUUACUUUGAGCAAGAUAGUCUCCUUAGCAUUUCUCAAUUUGUAAACUAAAUCUUGUAAACCAAAUGAUGAAAUUGUUGAUGAUUAGUUUAUUACUCAAGUGUUGAUUAACGUGAUUAUUUUCUAUUGAUUGUAAACUUAAUUUAAAAAUGGUUUAACUGAAUAGAUAUUCAUAUUCGAAAUGAAUAAAUUGGGCUCUCACGGUUGACUGUUUAGCCAAAUAAAGUUGGCAACAUUUAAAGAAAAUCAACAUUCUUACCUAAAGAGAGUGGUAUGAGAAAUAUUUGGUUGUCGCUGCUUGUGAGAUCUUUUUCACAUGUGGAUGGGGGGAGGGGGGGUGCAUUUGAUACUAUAAUGAAGUUUUUGUCAUUGUCAUUGAGACGGAAAGACGUAAUAUCUUUACCUUUCCUGUUUGGGCGAAACAACUUUUUUAAUUGCAUGUUUUUCUGGGACCAAGCCAACUGCAAAUAUCGUGAAAUAUCUAAAGUAAGCGUCUUGUUUGGACCUUUUGUUUUUGGAACUUUAACGAAAAACACCCGGUACUGUUCACUUUAACGAAAAAUCAUAUUUUUAUACUAAAAAGUCAAUCCUGGUACUAUUCACUCUACCCUUUAUUUUGUUCUUAUCAUUAAAACUCAAAGUUUUCAAACUCUUUUCAUUAGGUUUUUUUUUUUUUAGUGUUAUACUUUCUUAUUAGAGUGUUUAUUUCUAGGUUUAGGGUUUUGUUUGUGAAGAAAAUUGAGGUUCCAAUAUAGAAUUUAUUCUCAACAGUUUGGACUCGAAUUUCUUAUAUUAUUGGCUCGUAUGUUUGGAGCUGCUAAGUUGAAAGAAGAUCAAGAAAAUUUUCAAUCAUUUUUUUAGAUACUAUUGUGGUUUUAAUAGUCAUGGUAUUGUCUGAAAAUUAUUGGCAAUUAUCUUGAAAAUGCAAGGAUAUUUAAAGAGCCUGGGAGAUUGAAAUGUCAUGGGAUUUUAAGAAUAUGAGGGUCAAACUUGACUAGCCAUGGGGAAAUUAUCUUGAUAGUUUGAUAGCAAACUGUCAAGAUAAUGUGAUUAGCUUGUAGGCUUGUACGUCGAUGUCAUAGCAAAUUGCAUUAAGAUAAUUUUAAAAGUUGAAUUGGCUAAUCAAAGAUGUGAUAAAAGAUGGCAAAAUAAUGAUCACAUCACUUCCUUGGUGAUUUUACACGCUGCUUGUUCCAAUAGCAUCAAUUGCGUGCUGCUAGUAAUUGUUGGAUUUUUAGAUCGUCAGCUCUGUUUCACUCUAACGAUAUCGAUACUGUCCUCAUCUUUACCACCUGCCCAAUUGGUCAAGUGUGGGGUUGGAUUUUUAGAUCGUCGGCUCCGUUCCACUUUAACGACACCGAUAUUGUCCCCACUUGCCCAAUCCGUUGUUCCAAUAGCAUCAAUUGCAUGCUGCUUGUAAUUGUUGGAUUUUUAGAUCGUCAGCUCUGUUUCACUCUAACGAUAUCGAUACUGUCCUCAUCUUUACCACCUGCCCAAUUUGUCAAGUGUGGGGUUGGAUUUUUAGAUCGUCGGCUUCGUUCCACUUUAACGACACCGAUACUGUCCCCACUUGCCCAAUCCGUUGUUCCAAUAGCAUCAAUUGCAUGCUGCUUGUAAUUGUUGGAUUUUUGGAUCGUCGGAUUUGUUUCACUCUAACGACACCAAUACUGUCCCCAUCUUUACCACCUGCCCAAUCUGUCAGGUGUGCCAUCUUUAUCACAAAAUGCCUCUGUAUUAGUUAGAGUAGGGUAAUAAUACUAUUUAAACCUAUUGUGGAGAUCCAUAGCUUAUCUGAUGUGGGAUUCUUAAUACUUCUUCUCAUGUGUAACCUCAUUUAGUGGUUCACAUGUGGAGAUUCACGUCGGUAAUUGCAAGGGCCCGAAACCGUGGGCUCUGAUAUCAUGUUGGAAUUUUAGAUCGACAGGCCCGCCUCACUCUAACGACACCGAUAUUGUCCCCAUCUUUACCACAUGCCCAAUCCAUCAAGUGUGGGGUUGAAUUUUUAGAUCAUCGGCUCCGUUCCACUUUAACGACACUGAUAUUGUCCCCACUUGCCCAAUUCGUUGUUCCAAUAGCAUCAAUUGCAUGCUACUUGUAAUUGUUGAAUUUUUAGAUCGUCGGUUCCGUUCCACUCUAACGACACCGAUAUUGUCCCCAUCUUUACCAUCUGCCCAAUCCGUCAGGUAUGAGGUUGGAUUUUUAGAUCGUCGGAUCUGUUCCACUCUAAUGACACCGAUAUUGUCCCCAUCUUUACCACAUGCCCAAUCUGUUAGGUGUACCAUCUUUACCCUAUCUUUACCACCUGUCAAAUCUAUCAGAUGUGCCAUCUUUACCACAAAAUGUCUCUGUAUUAGUUAGAGUAGGGUAAUAAUACUAUUUAAACCCAUUGUGGAGAUCUACAGCUCAUCCGAUGUGGGAUUCUUAAUACUCCUCCUCAUGUGUAACCUCAUUUAAUGGUUCACAUGUGGAGAUUCACGUCAGUAAUUGCAAGGGCCCGAAACCGUGGGCUCUGAUACCAUGUUGGAUUUUUAGAUUGACAGGCCCGCCUCGCUCUAACGACACCGAUACUGUCCCCAUCUUUACCACAUGCUCAAUCGGUCAGGUGUGAGGUUUUACCACAAAAAACCUUGGUAUUAAUUAGAGUAGGGUAAUACUAUUUAAACCCAUUGUGGCACUUUAUCCCCACCGAUGUGGGAUUAUUAACAGUAAUUAUCAUGUGGUAUGAAGUUUUAGGAAGCAUGGUGCAGUCGAAAUUGCUUGUAUAGUUUAUCAUCCAAGGCAUACAUGUCUCUAUAAUAUACCGCACAACGUGAAAAGGACUUUCAAUUCAACCAUCAAUGCUCUGUGAAACCCUUCACAAUCCUGCGUGAAAAAUACAAACGGAUUUACUAUCAGUCAAACACAUAUAGCGUUUGGUUAAACAAAUUUGAGUUGGCAGCCGAUGCAAAUUCAGUUUGGUUAGAUAUGUUUGGGUUGGCAACCAGCAAAUAUGACAGUUUGGUUAAACAGCACCAGAGUUGUAGAAUUUAUCCAGUUUAGGAGUCUUGACAGUCUGAUUAAACAAAAAGUUUCCUAAGUUCGACUGGCUAUCUAACCCAAAUCUUUGCCGACGAACACAUUGGUCAUGGAGGAGGUGCUUCGUUGUAGAAACUGCGCUGAUUCGGGAAAGAGAGGAAUCCGUAGGAUGAGAACAGUGGCGGAUCCAGGAAAUAAUGUUUGGGGGGUCAAUAAGGAUAGCGCGCAGUGCGUAAAUUUUUUUUAACAGAAACGGCAUGCAUAUUGUCAUUUCAUCGAGUCUUGGUAGGAUAACGCGACCAGCUACUCCAAAAUCCUUGUUCAAAGGUCCUAAACGUUCAAACCUGGAGGAAGAGAUUGCUUCAACUUGUCGGCCUUCUCGGAAUCAAACACACAAAGUGUGUAAAGGUACUUGGAGCACCGAACCUUGAACUUGACAGCAUCCUUGGUCCUUUUGAUUUUGACAUUGCGGGCAUCCUUCCUUCUUGCAGUUAGAAGGAAAUCCUUGAUCUUAUGGAUCUGCUUCGGCAUUUUGCUUGUUGCUCGGUCGAGACCGGAGGCUGCGUGUUCUCUCUCAAAGUCCGCUUAUCUCUAUUUUGAUGUUUCCUGGUAUGAACUACCAGUACACUCUGAUUUCAAAUAGUUCUGAAAACAGAAGUACUUCUGGUGGAAGUGAUAAUUCCAAUCCCACAAGUUCCUUGAAUAUAAAGAGAUUUUGUUAUGUACUCUCAAGAGAAGUGCGAAAUCAUGCAUUUGAUCUCAAAUACUCAAGUCGUUGCUCUCCUGCCAAGAACUGCACUCAUUUGUUCGCAUCUGAUUUGGCUCGUGUUGUUUCGUUGAAGCCUAUCGAGUGUCUGAAAGAUGCGAAAAGGUUGAGAUUUCUGGUGGAAUUUGUAGACAGCAACAACGUCUGGUAUCGAAGGCCAUUCGAUCUCAAUACAACUUUGAUUGGAGAAGGCUCAUGGGAUGCAGAGACAAAUCAGCUGUCUUGUGUUGCAUGUCGAUUCUUGGAUGCAGCAGGUUCUUGGAACAAUACUCGUGUUGGUGAUUGUUCAACAAGAAUUACCUUGAGGUUUCCUGCUUAUGGACAAUCGGGAAGACAAGUAGCAUGGCAGGGGAGAUUUGGAGCAACAAAAAUGUCACAGAGUUGGGUUACUUUGAAAAGAUCAUGUUAAAAAGUCCUCAGGAUGACAUCGGAAAGGUUCUGAUUCCUGGUGUGAAGUAUGAGUACACCAAAACCUAACAAGUAAGCAAUUUGUCUUCAACCACCCCAGCCGAGGAGUUCUUUCAGACCUUUCGUCGAACACUUGAUGUGCAGCUAAGGGGUCUCACCAACAGCUCCAAGGGUCGCACCAGCAGCUCCAAGGGGUCUCUAAGGUUGUUUCCAUGGCUUCCAAGGGGUCGUGUGACCCCAUUGACCCCAUUGUGGAUCCGCCACUGGAUGAGAAGGAGGCAGAGGUUGAAGGGACCAAGGAGAGGAAAGGAGCGGAGAAAGGAUAUGCGGUGGAGAUGUAAGGCCCAAAUCGAUUUUUUAAUUUUAUAAUAUUUUUUAUUUGGUUUAAAAUAACUAACAAUUUUUUAUUAAUUUUUUGUCUAAGUGGUUAAAAUUUGGAUCCUCCUGACCAAGACCAAAUCCAACGGUUACAAACAAGAAGAUCGUUUUAAAAUUAUGAUAAUUAUAAUCUUUAGAUGAAAAUUCAACGGCCCUGUCUUGAUCAAGAGAAUCAUUUCCUUGGGCUCAGGGGAGGAUCCAAAUUUCUUCUAAUCCAAAUUUGACAUCCAUAUCAAAAUAUGACUCUACAUUUGCCACGUCAUCAUUUAACAAUCAAAUUAACAGAAAAUUUAACGAGGAUUGGACAAAAUGCUGUGUUUUGCCUGUUUCUAGAAUUGAUUUAAUUUUAUUUUGGCCCUCGAUAAAGAGUUUGCAAGUGAAAUCUAGGUAAAAGCGUAAUAUUUUCAUAGACAUCGAAAUUAAGACAGCCACAUCACACAGUUUAUAGAAACUUAAUAGACACCGGAAACACAAUCCACAUAGCAGACUGGCUUAUAGAUGACACAAUAUUCAGAUAACAAACUUCUCAACUGAGGGUUCAGAACUUCAGAGAGACGCAUUCUGCAGAGGUCGAUGUUGCUGCAGGUUGCAACGACUCAGAAACCGUGAAUUUUGAUAUUGUCUUUCUUCACAAUCCCAGCCUGUAUAAAACAAAAUUGUGAAUCAGGACCAGACUCCUCCAAAUUGGCUCUGUAAGACCAUCUAAUGGAAUAAUUAAGGAAGCAACUUUGACGGUUUUAUAAUACAUGUAGAACAUUUAACGUCAUCAAACCAUUCUGUGAACUACCUGGACUAGAAAGGUAGAUACGUUCUUUCGCUGAUCACCUUGAAGCUGAAUGACCUACGGACAAACAACAAUACAACAAUUAGGGGGUGUGUAUUAGAAACUAUAUUAUAGAUUUUACUGUUAAGCACGCACCUGUCCUAGUUCUGGGUCCUGGACAACGGUACCAUUGCAGCAAAAUUCCUUCUUAAGGUCUUUGAGUAUCUUGUUAUAGCUAAACUCUUUCUUCAAUCCCUGCACAGUAGUCAGGCUUUUCCUGCCAUUGCGUUGCUGUACACGGAUGUGUACAUACUCUUUUGUCCCAGCACCCGAGUCCUCAGCAGUUGCCUCGGCAAAGGGAUCUGAACCCAAGAAACAGCAAUUCAAUUAGAUAAAUGGAGGGACGCACAAGAAAGGAUGAAAGACAAGCAAGGCAACGAUAGAUGCUCACAUCUCAUAAGAUCAUAAAAAAUUUAAAGCACUAAUCCAAUGUUCAAAUAGUGAAAACAAAAACCUAAUGUGAGGAUGUCAUGAAAAAUAGCCUUUCAUACUCCAGCCCCCUCAUGCAAAAUUAGACUAACAAGCAGCAGAUAUUUUUUUCCACGGUCUUAACCAAAUAUUCUAUACUCUCGUUUCGCACUCUGAAGGAUCAAUAAAUCAGAUUUUUUUACUUGCCAACUAUGUAUAAGCACAGAAAAACUCAUCAGCAAUCAAGAGAACUGAGGGGAAAAUAAAGGGGGUAGCCUUCUACAAGCGUAUAAACUUAUCAUUUUUAUCACUUACGCACAAGGCGGUGAAAUUUUUUAGUUUUGAGCAUAACUCAGAUUCCUAAGAAUGGUAUGCUCUCCCACUUUACGUACAAUUAUUUAGAAAAUAUCAAACAACUAGACACAAAUCUAUAUACCUUACAGUAAAAGCCCACUAAAUUAUAAUGGAGUAGCCUAGCUCCAUCACUUUUCAUAAGUUUUUAGGAAAAGAGAUGUAAUCUAUCCUAGUGAAUGUGGAUUUGAUGCACAAGAUCGUCUCUGCUGUGCUUAUAUUAUAUAAAAGUGAAAAUGACUUCCGAUCGUCCCUGCUCUGCUGUGCUCAGUAGAUAAGAAGCUAAGAAGCAACAGUAACCCAUAACUUUAAUGCCUACAGUUCAAAUCCCCACACUCACAACCCUAUAUUUUGACCAGUACAUAUUAAAUCAGAUCGUAUAGACCACGUUCCAAACAAUUGAACCAAUGCCUUCAGAAAGAAUUGUAGCCAAAUCAAACCAUGUAGGUUAUCAAAAAUGUCCAGAUAAGCAGUUUAGCUUGGUUUCUUGAGUAAAUCAGGUUGUCAGAUUGCUGAAUUACUCUAGUUGACACUAUCUCUUGAUAAACAACAACAAACCAAUUUCUCAAACUCCACGUCUACUAAAUUGCAACAGUAUUGAAUGUCGGUGACUAAAAAUGCUCUCGAGCAUAUAGGUGCCCAGUUUUUCAACCAAUCAAACGUCCUGGAGCUAUUAUCCAACUUAUCCAAUUGGAUUCGAAUACAGGCGCACACAAGCAUGCGUUCAAGCACAUAAACACACACAAAUGAGUUACGAAUCAGCCCUAAACAUACCAAAGGCAGUGGGAAGCUGUACGUCGAUGUCAGACAUGAAACUUAGCUGAUUCAACUAAGCGACCCUGCUAACCGGAAUGCUCAGACCUGGAUCACAUUAAACAAAAAAUAUAAAUCUUCAUGUCCUCCAUCACAUAUAAUCAAGAUAAUAACACAAAAAGAACAGAUCACAUAAUCGAAAAGAAUUUUCGCAACUCUUCCGGAAUAAUCAACUGCGUAAUCACAAGGGAGUAAACAAAAUCUAUAUCGAAUCAAUUGCAAUCCCACCCUCGGAAAAAACUAAUUGACACCGAAAAACAAAGAGGGUUCGAAAAAAGCACCAAACUUUUCGGCUUCAUCUAAUCAAACAUGAAAAUAAUAUAUUUUUCAAGUACUUUACUGGAAAAAUUAAAAAUCAGAACACCAAAAAGAACUUAAUUCCCAGUUUUUUUUCCAGAGCGUCCUGUAAAUAAUAAAAAUUAAUGUAAUUCCACCUCUCAGAAUAAUAUCAAUUUAAAAAAAUUAAAAAAUUAAAAAAUUUCCAAUUUAUACAAAACCCCUAAAAUUCGGACCAGAUAUUAAACCAUCAAAAACCCUAGAACAAAGACGAACAGAAAUCGGUAAGGGGAUCGAAGAACGAAUUACCUGAUCUGAUAAUUAGGGUUUUGGAAUUGGCGAGUCGGAUCGAGAAAAAACCCUAACCCCAAAUAUCAGAUGAGCCUGAGCGAGCUCUCUCGACCGCGUUUAGUAGAUUGCUGUUUGGGAAGACGGAAAAAGUGAACAGAAAAUUGGGGCUUUGAGAUAGAUAUUUAUUGAAUAAACAAAUAAACAAAUAAUAAUUAAAUAAACUUAAAAAUAUGUGCAAGGGGGAGAGUGGUUUUGGUCAUUUGCACGCGCAGGGGUUUCAUUAGAUAGUCCACGCGCUGAUGAGAGCACUAGUUUUGGGUUUGGUUUAUUUGAGUGACAGCUGUGGGUAGCUGGGAGCGAGUAGAAGUUGAAACAGAAAAACAAUGUCUGGCUUUCUGAGUUGGUAAGUCGGUCUAAUGACCUUGUCCAUUCUGGGCAAUAAACCGCACCGUCUCUUGCCGAGUCCGCGUGAAGGGCAAAAUAGAUGAGUCUUCCUAAAAAUCUAACUCUGAUCUAAGUUAGUAUUACAGUUUUGUAAUAUUUCUGUUUACUUAAAAAUAGAAAGUCUCAUAUUUGACACAUCAAAAAUACAUAUAGAAGUUGAAUACCCAUUUCUUAGACUAGAAUAUCUCAAUUCUCGUAGAGUAAAAUAUCGUUAUAGAAAGAAAAAAUCACACUUGUAUUUAUUUUUUUAUUGUUUCCACCCCCUGAGAAUUUACAAUUUAAGGUAAACUCCUUCAAAGUCAAAACUAUCUUCAAAGCUACUUAAUAUAAUUUGGGUGCGGUUGUUGCACCAGACUGUCUCGGACUGAACUAGCUUCAGAGACUAAGCUGGACUGGCUUAAACUAGACUAAGCUAAACUAUAUUAAUGAAACAUUUGGUGCAGUGUCAGAUUAAAAAGAAGGAUAAUGAAAAUCAAUGAAAAAUAAACCUAUUUGAACAAUCACAACAAAAGAAUUCGAUAAUACGACAUCAUAAACUAACCAACCUAGAUUCAUUAUAGAAGGAAAAUUGAAAUUAACUAAAUCCACUUUUCUCUACCUACCCAAUUCAAACCAAAACAAAACAAUUUCUCAUAAUUAAAACAUAAUAAUAAAUUUCUCACAAAGCUACCCAAUAAAAUAAAAAAUUGGGUAAAAAAUUGUAUUUUAAUCCUUUUGUCCAUCGCUAUAUGAGGUUCUAAAAUGUGAGCCCAGAAAUUGUGUUGCUCCUUAAAUUGAACGACAUCGUCGCCACAACCACAAAUCAACAAAUCCAAUUGAUGGCACUACAGAUCCAUCUUCGUCACCUUCGUGCAGUUGUGGUCGACCCUAGCCUUAGGCUGUCGGUCUUCGAACUCAGUCUUCAAACCCAGCCUUCGAAUGUCUCAUCGUUCGGGCCACUGUUGUAGACCCCCAGCCCUCAAUCGAUCACGAUAAUCAAAUAAACAUUCCCUUUUCUAAUUGAUCCACCACCCAAGGAGUGUUCUGUCACCUCGGCGAAGAGGAGUGGGUGGUGCUGACAUCGAUCCGAGUCUAGGUUGUCGGUGCAAAGAGAUAGAGGAAGGGAGAGAGAGGAUGCAAAGUGCAGGAACAGACGUGAGAAGACGAAGGUCUUAGCAAUCCCAUGGUUUUGCGGGGGUCUCGCUAAGAACUUCUAGUGAGGCCCUUAGUCGACGCGUAUCCCGGCUAGUACCAUUAAAGUUAAUCUGCGCGAGUAACAAACACGGUACUGGACAAAUCUUUAAUCAUGUCUAGUCCAACAAAGGCUAACGAGUGCAAACAAACGCACCCUUUAGGGUAAACUCCACAUUAGUAAAACUGUUCGUCAACCAAAAACUAAUAAAAUUAUUACUAUACCCUUUAAUACAAAACUGAAAGAAGAUAUUAGAAAAUAAAACAAUUUGGGCAUUAAAGUAAUUUUGUACAAAUAAGUUUUUUCUAAGUACAUCGAUAUUUUUACACUAGGGGGAGGGGAAGUUCGGCUAAGCCACACAAUGGGCAACCUUAUUUGGUAUCGAAUUCGCCUAUUAGGGAGAAUGACAAGUCAUCAAAUGUAGUUACUGUUAAAUAGUUUGUUAAAGCUAAAUGUAAUCAGUUUUGUUAGUAACUGUAGUUAGUCAAGGUAGUUAAGGGUAUUCUUGUAAUUAGCCUAAGGCAGCUAAGGCUAUAUAUAUUCACAUCUGUACAACUGAAUUAUUGAUUCAAUACAAUCAAGAAAACUUACUGUUGAAGUUUUCUGUUUCUAUAUGGUAUCACGCCAUCCUGCUUUACAGCACCGACCUUCUCUUCCGCUCGACCUCUCGAUCGAUUCCUGAUCGAUUCUUGCUUUCUUCUUUCUGAUUCUUCAGCUUUUCAUUCCCGAUCUCUCUUGAAUCUUGAUCGCUGCAAGCUAUGGUUGCUCAAUCUGCAUCGCAACCUAUUAGGUAUUCUUCUCCGAUCAUCUCUCAUUCGGUCCAAAACCCUAAUUCCUCUUCUAAUCCGAGUCCUCUGAAUUCGUAUACUUCUCUUACGAUUCACAACAUCGGCAGUAUGGUUCCAAUCAAGCUGAAAAGUUCCAACUAUCUGCCAUGGCGAGCACUGUUUGCUCCAAAUUUCCGGCGAUACAAGCUUCUUGGUAUCAUUGAUGGCAUUGAGAUUUGUCCUUCACCAUUCUUGCCCGAUCGCUCAAUGAAUCCUGCCUUCGAGGAUUGGUAUGAAAAAGAUCAAAACCUAUUGAUCUGGCUCAAUUCUACCCUAUCAGAAGAACUCAUUCCGUUCACAGUUGGUGUUUCUUCUUCUCGAGAACUCUGGGUAAAGCUUGAACAAAGUUUUGGUGGAAUUUCAGAGGCUCAUAUUCACCAAUUACGAUCAAGACUUCAAUCAAUUCAGAAAGGAUCUCAGUCCAUUUCUGCGUAUCUUCAACAAAUCAAGGAAAUUGCUGAUUCCUUGCACAUUGCUGGUGCUUCGGUGUCUGAUCGUGACCUAAUUGCUGCCACUCUAUAUGGAUUACCUGAUGAAUUCGAGUCUUUUAUUGACUUCAUCAUGCUGCGGCUCUCUUCUACAUCUCUUGAUGAACUCCAUGGCCUCUUACUCACCAAGGAGUUGUCUAUGGCUCGUCGCAAGGCUGCUAUUUCCUCAUCUGCAACUGAACCUUUUCAGGCCUUCUCAGUGCAAUCUCAGCCUCCCUUGCUUUCUACUCCAUCUGUUUUUUCUACUCAGUAUCAACCAUUUCACUCUGCUUUCCGAUUUAACUCAAAUCGUGGUAAGCCAGCUCGAGGUAAUUUCUCAUCCAAUCGCAGCAAUCGCUAUUUUCAUAAUAAUAGGGGCACUUUCACCAACAAUCGUGGCAAUCGAAAUUAUCAAGGUUCUUCCACUUUCAAAGUUCCUUGUCAAAUUUGUGGUUCUACCAGUCAUGAGGCAAUUGACUGCUUUGAUCGUAUGAAUCCGGAUAUCUGCGGUCGAAUUCCUUCAGCCAAACUUGCUGCAAUGUGUGUGCAUCAUUCAGCAAAAUCUGCUCAGCCUUGGUUAAUUGAUUCUGGCACCACCUCCCACAUCACCAAUGAUGUAGCCAAUAUUUCUUCUCUAACUCCUUACACUGGAGAGGACAAAGUGUACAUUGGAGAUGGUAAAGGAUUAUCUAUCCAUCAUAUUGGUUCCUUAUCUCUGCACACUCCUCAUUAUUCCUUUAAACUGAGCAAUGUUUUACAUGUUCUUUUCAUGAAACAUAAUCUCUUAUCUGUUUAUCAGUUUCUUAAGGAUAAUAACUGUUCAUUGACUCUUGACCCUUAUGGAUCCACUGUCAAGGAUCGCAUUUCGGGGAAGAUGCUUUUGCAAUGACCUGUUAGGGAUGGUUUCUAUCCUCUCAACAAUUCCACCAGUUCUUCUUCUUCACCUUCAGCGUUUUUCAGCAUUCAAGCACCAGUCACUGUAUGGCACAAGUGCCUCGGACAUCCUUCCUCCUCAAUUUUUCGAAGAGUCAUAUCUACCAAUAAUCUUGCACUGCAAGGCAAGAAAAUUGUUGAUUUUUUCUGCUCAGAUUGUGCACUUGCUAAGAACCACAAGCUUCCUUUUGGAGUGGCUUCUUCAUCAACAACUCACAGUCUCUAACUUCUGCAUUGUGAUCUGUGGGGACCUGCCUCUAUAACAUCUAAUAAUGGCUUCAAGUAUUAUUUACUUCUUGUUGAUGAUUUUAGCAAGUACAGUUGGUUUUUUCCAUUGAAGUCUAAGUCCGAUGUAUUUUCUACAUUUGUUACUUUCAAAACCUAUGUAGAAAACUUCACUGGCAAUAAAAUCAAGAUUCUGCGUUCAGAUUCAGGGGGUGAAUUUACUAGUCACUCUCUUACUUCAUUUCUUCGUGAUCAUGGUAUAUUGCAUCAAUUUAGUUGUCCACAUACGCCUGAACAAAAUGGCUGUGCAAAGAGAAAGCACAGACAUCUUGUUGAGACAGCUCACACAUUACUUGUAGCUUUUCAAGUUCCUCAGGUUUUUGGGUUAAAGCCUUCUCCACUGUAAUAUAUCUUAUAAAUCGACUUCGUAUUUCUGGUCUUACAAAGUCACCGUGGGAACUUCUUUUCCACCAUCAUCCAGAUUACUCUAAACUGAAAGUAUUUGACUGUCAAUGCUAUCCCUGGCUUAAACCGUACAUUCACAGCAAAUUGGAUGCUAAGAGUAAAAGUUGUGUGUUUUUGGGCUAUAGUCUUCAACAUAAAGGCUAUAGAUGUCUUGAUCCUGUCACUAAUAGAAUCUACAUAUCAAGACAUGUUGUCUUUGAUGAAACAACUUAUCCUUUUACAUCAUCGCCGCCCAAUAGUCCCACUUCAGAGAUUUCAUUUUCUACACCUUCUCCAUCCUUUGACCUUAAAUUCAGCAAACAUUUUUCCAGUUCUCCUCCAGUCAGUACCUCUUCAGCACCACAGUGUUCUUCUGUACCAUCCUAUCAAUCGGAUUACAUCUUCCAAUGAAACUUCUUUCUGUAAUCAGUCAGUGGAUAAUUCUCACACUUCUUCCAGCUCUGCCUCUUUCAAUGACUCAUCUUUCUUACCUAUUCAGCCUAGUAAUCCACCUAUUUAUGGGAAUACACAUCCUAUGAUUACAAGAUCUAAGGCUGGAAUAUACAAGUCUAGAGCUUAUGCAGCAAUAAAACAUCAACUUCCAGUUGAUCUUGACUUUGUUCCUAGUACUUAUUUACAAGCAUCAAAGCAUGCUCACUGGCGAGCUGCAAUGCAGGCUCACUGGCGAGCUGCAAUGCAGGCUGAAUAUAAUGCCUUAAUAACCACAGGCACUUGGUCUUUUAUUCCCUCUCAUCCUUCUCAGAAUGUUGUUGGAUGUAAAUGGGUGUUCCGGGUCAAGAAAAAUCCUGAUGGAACCAUUGACAGAUACAAAGCACGCUUGGUGGCAAAGGGCUUUCAUCAGCAAGAAUGAGUUGACUUUCAAGAAACCUUCAAUCCUGUUGCUAAACCAGUCACCAUUCAGAUUCUUCGUACACUUGCUGUCCAAGAUAAUUGGUUCUUGAAUCAAUUAGACAUUAGUAAUGCAUUCCUCCAUGGUGAUUUAAAGGAUGAUGUUUACAUGCAACAACCUCCUGGUUUUAUUGAUCCUAACUCUCCCCAUUCUGUUUGCAAGCUGGAGAAAUCCUUAUAUGGCCUCAAACAAGCUCAUCGAGCUUGGUUUGAUAAAUUGUUUCAAGCUCUUCGAACACUCGGCUUUCAUCAAUCUCAAUCUGAUGCCUCUUUGUGUUGUCUUUAAUGGACCUUAGUUGGUUAUUGUCCUUGUUUAUGUAAAUGACAUCUUAGUUACUGGACCCAACUCUCAACUCUGUCAAUAGUUUAUCCAACAACUUAGUACUCAAUUUCCAGUAAAAGAUCUUGGUCCUUUACACUAUUUCUUAGGGUUGGAAGUCCACAGAUCCAACAAAGGCAUAUUUCUUCAUCAGACCAAGUAUUUACUUGAUCUUCUUAAGAAAACAAAUAUGGAGGGUGCCAAACCUUGUUCGACUCCUCUUGGUUCUUAGAAACUGGAUCACAGUGGGCCUCUCUUGUCAAAUCCCACUGAAUAUCGCUCUAUAGUUGGUGGUUUACAAUAUCUCACUUGGACUCGACCUGAACUUGCCUUUGCUAUUAAUCAGAUAUGUCAAUUUAUGCAUGCUCCCCGAGAACAACAUCUUCAAGCAGCAAAACGGGUUCUCAGAUUUCUUAAAUGCUCUAUUUCUCAUGGUUUAUGGUUCACCACAGGUCCUAUUAACCUUUCAGCAUACUCUGAUGUUGAUUGGGCUGGCUGCACCUUUGAUAAGCCGUCCACCAGUGGAUAUUGUGUAUUUCUUGGUCCAAAUCUUAUCAGUUGGAGUGCAAAGAAACAAAGUACUGUUGCUCGUUCCUCCACAUAAGCUGAAUAUCGUUCCUUAGCACAUUCUGCUGCAAAACUAACUUGGGUUUGCAAAAUCCUCAAAGAUCUUCAUUCUCCUCUCCCUACACUGCCUACCCUAUGGUGUGAUAAUAUUUCAGCAAUCUCUUUGGCAUCUAAUCCUAUUUUUCGUGCUCGCACCAAGCAUAUUGAGAUUGACUAUCACUACAUCCGGGAGUUGGUUCUCGCAAAUCUCAUCAAAGUCUACUAUGUUUGCAGUGAAGACCAAUUGGCUGAUCUUCACACCAAAUCUUUGUUUAAAAGCAGAUUAUCUUAUUUGUGUUCCAAGCUUCCAAUUGGAAUCCUAUCUGAUUCCUCUUUUAGCUUGAGGGGUGUAUUAGGGAGAAUGACAAGUCAUCAAAUAUAGUUACUGUUAAAUAGUUUGUUAAAGCUAAAUGUAAUCAGUUUUGUUGGUAACUGUAGUUAGUCAAGGUAGUUGAGGGUAUUCUUGUAAGGCAACUAAGGCUAUAUAUAUUCAUAUCUGUACAACUAAAUUAUUGAUUCAAUACAAUCAAGAAAACUUACUGUUGAAGUUUUCUGUUUCUAUAUCGCCAUCCACGAAAUUCGAACCUAAGACCUCUCACUUCUAAGUGAAGAUGAAUACUACCAGACCGUAGUACUAAGUGGUUAUACAAACAAGUUUUUACUGUUUUUUUUUCUAAACUCCACAACUAUGUCACUUUACUAAGGAGCAGGGGAGUGGGCUUAGUCUCACAACGGGCUAGCAAUAAUGUGAUUCAAAUUCACAUUUGACGAGAAUCGAACCUGAGACCUCUCAUUUAUAAGUAAAGAUUAAUAACAUUAGAUCAUAGUACUAAAUGACCUAAAUGAGGCAUCUAACAUGUGUGUUUCAAAAGUUCUUUUCUUUCUUUUUCUAUAUGACUGUACGUCUUGUAACUAUGCAGCCAGUCAGAAAUACAUUUUAUUGUAAAAAAAAUUAAAAAAAAAAGAGUAAUUUUAGCCAAUUUCAGAAACAGUUGGUAUCCUAAAAACUCAAAAGUAUGGUUCAACCAGUCUUCUAUCUCUUUCCAAGAUUCAAAAUCUUCCAAACAAAUUGUUUGUAAAUUUGAAAUCUAGCAUCCGUGAUUUUCUAAAAUUUGGAUUCUAUUUUUUGAUAAGUGCUAAUAAUAUCCUAUUAAAACUUGGCGUGCAUGCCAAGGAAAAUAAUUAAUCCUUAUGCGUGGCAUAGACUUGUGGCUUUUAAUGCAUUAAGUCGGCAUUCGAUCCUAUAAAUUAAGGCUCUUCGAUGCCAAAUCAUUCAUCGUUGAAAGCAAAGGCAUAUAGAAGUUCUGUGUAGCUGGCUCUCGUUCUCUCUCAAGGUUUGUACAUAUUUUCCAUCAUAUUCUGCAGUUAACGUUCUUCAGUAUGUUUUUAGGGUUUGAUUAAUUGUUUGAUUCAAUCAGUUAUUUCCUAGAAUUAUUUUUUAUCUUUCAUUUUUUUAUGAACGCCUGAGAACAUUGGAAAUUUAGAACACAAAUUUGAUUAAAAUUUUAUAUAUUCGUUUGAUUUGAUUAGUUACUUUGCUACAAUAAAUUUUGUAUAAAUUACAGGAAAAUAUUGGAGGUUGUUUUGUAUUCAAUUUGAAAAAUAAAUUUUAGUUUUAACAAAAUUUUAGUUUUAACAAGUGAUGAAUGUAAGGAGUCUUUUGUUUCGAAAACAAAGAAACUGAUACCAAACGGGAUCUUAAGUAAUUAAGGGCAUUGAUUUACGAUUUUUUUCUUCUCUAAACAGAUGCAGAUCUUUGUGAAAACCCUAACCGGAAAGACCAUCACCCUCGAGGUUGAAAGCUCCGACACCAUUGACAAUGUCAAAGCCAAGAUCCAAGACAAGGAAGGUAUUCCCCCAGACCAGCAAAGGCUGAUAUUUGCCGGCAAGCAGCUCGAGGACGGCCGCACCCUCGCCGACUACAACAUCCAGAAGGAGUCCACCCUCCACCUAGUUCUCCGUCUCCGUGGUGGUAUGCAAAUCUUCGUCAAGACCCUUACCGGGAAGACCAUUACUUUGGAAGUGGAAAGCUCCGACACUAUUGACAAUGUUAAGGCUAAAAUCCAGGACAAGGAGGGCAUCCCUCCGGACCAGCAGAGGUUGAUCUUUGCAGGCAAGCAGCUCGAGGACGGAAGGACCCUUGCCGACUACAACAUCCAGAAGGAGUCCACCCUUCAUCUUGUACUCCGCCUCCGCGGUGGUUUUUGAAUUCGAGCUCAUUGAUGCUUGUCCCAGCCUCCUGGUCUGAGGAGUAGAAGUGAAUCUAAUGUAUUCUUUUGUGGCUGUGUAUUGCCAGUAAUUUGGGUUAUUAAUACUGCUUUCGUAUGUGCUUUAUGCUGUUGCAAUUUCUAUUAUUUUGGUACUCCUGCAUUCAUUUGUUUAAAUUGUGUGUUGAGAAUAUUUAAACUAGCAUUUGUAUGUUGAGGGAUAACUUAUACCUUACGUGCAUGUAUGUAUAUUGGUGUGUUACGAAAAAUUCUGUUAACAAUGUCACUAAUUCAUUAUCUAGAAAAAUGUACUGAAUUUGCAUGUGCAUCAGUAUUGUAUUGAUUUUGUUGAAAAUAUAUCGAUACUUUGUCGGUACAUUCUGUUGGUCACAGUAAAUAUUGGUGAAAUAUAUCAUGUACUCAUGGUCUAGCCUAACUGUUCAUUUGCAAUGCAAAUAACACCUCAUAGCAAAAUUGGUAGCCUACUUUUCCAAUGACCAGUGUAACUCUAAAAGUGACUCCCCCAACUUCAUGAUCUGUGCAUGACCAGUUUUGGGUUGGAAGUCACAAAUAAGCGAAGUACAUACACUACAAGAAAAAAGGCUAAUUGUCACAGAGCAAGUGCGGUCGUUGCUAGGAAAAAGGCCAAUUGCCACAGAGCAAAUGCGGUUGUUGCUAGGGUUGUUAUUGCUAAAAGUGUGACAAUUGCUAUGCUAACAACGCCCCCCCCUCUCUCUUGCUGCUUCUCGCAGUGAUAACUACAUAUGAUAUGAGUCAACUAUGAAGUACCUCAUCAGCGAUGUAAACUAGCUAUGAUUGACUUACAUUGCUAGCUAGACCUAACUGUGCAACACCAUUUUAAUUCCAAAAUUGAUCUUGGGAGUUUCUUCAAGAUCUAUCCAUGACCAGUUGCUAGGAGUGUAGUUACCAAUGGCAAGUACUCGUCCAUGUUCUUUCCAGCUGACGGUUGUAUAAUUAGUUGAAUAGUUAUUCAACUUCUAAUCAUGAGAUUGUGCUAAAAGUGGGAAUGGCGUUUUUGAAUGGGCAAUGCUAGGAAUAUCAAAUAUUAGAUAAAUUUUGUAGACAAUAUAAUGUGAUUGUUGAUUAACGUGUUUAUUGUUUAUGAUGACACAUCACAUGAUUUGCAAAUAUGGUCUAAAAAUUUGGUCUACGCAUUGCUCAUUUUGCAUUGAGGAGUUCUUACUGUUCUUCUGUUGUAUAAUUUAGACCCAUUGGGCCAACACUGAAAGGCCCAGUACCAUCACGACCUCACCCCGCUCAUACCCCCCCCCCCCUUCCCUCUCUCUCUCUGAUCUCACCCUCCUCUCCUUCCUCACGCGGGAAUUGUGGACUCUCACUGUAAUUGCAAUUUGUCGUUUAAAAGGUACGAAAAAUUUCUGUAUACAAUUGAAUUUUAAAAGUGAUUUGAUAUAUUUGUUUGGGUUUCUUUAGGGGUCUGUCACUGUCAGUAAACUGGUUUUGCUUGUGAUUUCUCGAUAAUUUGCUGAGAUUUGCACUGAGAUUUGGUUGUUAAUGAUAUUUUUUGUAUGGGAUUUGGUUAUGUGCACUGAUUCCUCAUGGCAUUAAUGAAUUUUGUUUCAAUUUUUUUGGGAAUUGGGAUAUUUUCGUAGUAGGUCGAUGUAUGGAGAGAAUUUGGCGAUUAGGGUUUAGAAAAAUGUUUGAUGACUGAAGCUCUUGGUGUCUGCUUCUAAUCAACACGGCUAUGGCCGAAAGGAUCUUGGGUAAUUUGAUUUAUGUUGAGAGGGGUUGAAAGUUGACACAUUUGGAUGUGUUGACUAUGGCCAUAAGGAGCUUACUGACCUGCACUCAAGCUCUGUACCUUGAGUCCUUCACCUGUGUGAGCUCCCUUGAUUUAUCACCGUUGGCAAACAUUAAACGUCUAGAUAUCCGUUAAUAUUUGUUGUGCUAAAGGAGUUAUAGUUUGUUUUUCCGUAUUGUACUGUGUGCGCGUUUGGAUGGGGGACUUUGAAAGUUUUAUAGAACUUAGGCUAAAUAGUUAUGAAGGCACUACAAAAAUCAUGUGGAUCGACUGUGAAAUUGACGUGAUGCUAUACAUUUGCAGUGCAUUUGUAGUGUUCUAGUGUAGGUGCUAUACAUUUGUAGAUUUUAGUGUUCUAGAGUAGCGUUGAAGCGUUUGAGUAGUUCAGUAGUCUCUUGUAGUGCUGUUUUAAGAAUAGAGUUCGAUGUUCUUUGGGACUUUGAAAGUCCCUCAUCUAAACAUUGCAUAAGGAAUCGAUAAAUGCAUUUGGUCAGAUCCAUCUUCAAAAAGAAAACUUAUAUAAGAAAGCUCUUCCUUUAAGAAACAAGACCUUAGACUACUCUGUACACAAAGUGGAGUGAUAAACUACUAUCCAUGGUAUCUAAUCUACAUGUCCUAUAUUCAAAAUAACAAUAAGGUAUGUCAAUAUGUCAUGGAGUUACCAUAACAUUGAUAGUUACUUGAAGGUAAUUAAAAGUGUGUAAAAGCUGCUUUUGAAAAACAAUGUCCAGAGAGAAUGGCUUGUUGGCUUAUAAGAUUGGUGGAUUGAGUUUUUAUGGGAAAAUGAUCGGGGUUCUGUUCACUCUUGGGGUGUUUUGCUUUUAUGUUAUUGGAAUGUUAUAGCGAAGGUGUAUGGAUUUAUAUUGAUUUGUGUUAUUUGUUCUUACUAUAGAAAUUGAUGUAUGUUGUUAUAUUAAAAUUCUACUGUGUUUUCUUUCUUUUUAAUUUGUUCUUACGUUUAUAGUUGUGUAUAGUUUGUUUAGUUGUGUGAAAAACAUAUAUUACUAAUUUACUAGCCACGUAAAACAAUUACGAGAAAAGAAAUCAUCUUUAGUGGGUAUUUAGUUUCUUUUUGAUAAUAACCAAAAGAAAAAACUGUAACAGUUGCCAAACAAGCUUUAUGUUAUUAGUGUUUUUCAAAUGAAAACUAAAAUCUAAUAUUCAAAAACAGUGAACUGAAAACAAAAUGGUUAUCAAACAAGGCCUAAAAGUUGAGUAUUUUUUUGUAAUUUUGUAGAGAAACCUUCAAACCUCUCGCUCUUAUCUUAGAUCACCAUGCCUCCAGUUGGCCCUCGAUCUGGUGAUGCAAUCUUCGCCAACGUGGAACGUGUGGUAAGUGAAACCCCAAGUCGCCUUAAUGUUUUCUUUAUCCUCAUAAUUUGGAAAUUGAAUUGGUUUCAGAAUGCGGAGUUGUUUACAUUGACGUACGGUGCGAUUGUGCGCCAGCUGCUUACGGAUCUUGAGGAAGUUGAAGAGGUUAACAAGCAGCUUGAUCAAAUGUAAUUUUUUUUGCUUUACUUUAAUUCUCUAUACUCAAGUUUGAUGUUGCAUUUCUUUCUUUUUUCUCUGAGAAUUAUGCCUUUCUUAGAAGUUUAGUUCUAGCUUUUACAUUAUAUGGAAGUGUGUGCUUGCAUGCAUCGACAAUUAUCUUGUUUUCUUCAUUUUUUUGUUGUUGUAGGAUUCUGUUUAUGGCUGUUAAUUUAUGUCAAUCUUUGUUUUGAGCUAUAAAUGUGUUGCAAGGAGGACAACUUUUAUUUCGUGACAUGCAAUGUUUGAUGACCAGUAACCGUAACUUUGAUAAAAAUAUAGUUAAUUUUCAGUUUAGCUGAUUACGUGACAAUUUAAUUGCAUCUCAGGGGCUAUAAUAUUGGCAUUCGAUUAAUUGAUGAGUUUCUAGCAAAGUCUAAUGUAUCUAGAUGUGUUGACUUCAAAGAGACAGCUGAAGUAAUUGCAAAGGUUUGUUGCCACCAUCCGUUUCCUUUCAAAUUUGAAUAUUCUGUGGAUCUUAAUUGUUCUGAAACCUGGUAAACUGUUUCUUCUGUGCUGAACUUUGGUACCUGUUGCAUGGAAGUUAUUGAAUCUUCUAUUACUUCCCAUGGUCUUUUCAACUGUUUGGUACAAAUAUCUUUCAGUAAAUGUUGGUGGAAAUUUAAUUCACUUGUCCAAUCUUUGCCUUUCUUGAGGAUGACAGCGGAGGUUUGUUAGUGAAAACCAAGAUUUGAAUCAUGGUUAAUGGCUAAUAUAUCUGAUUGAUACAUGUCAAAAUGCUAAAUGCUGAAUCCUGUCCACUGACUGUGCAACAAAGCAUAUUAGUAGGCCUAAACAUAUUGAAUUUAGAAUCAUUAAGUGGAAUUACGGUUAGUCUAUCAGUUUGUUUGGGUUUGAGGCUCUAUCUUGCGAUGGAAAAAUGGUAAUGGGCCAGGAUUGUAAUAUCUGUAAGACAGUUCCUCUAGUGUUUGGUGCAAUCUUUUCAUGCGUCGCUAGAUCUAAACUGUUCAUUUUUUGCUGUGUUUUUAUUUUUUCAAUUUCCACAAGCUUCCAGGUGAAGAUAUGAAGUAGUUUUUUGUUUGUCAUAAUGGCUCCAUCAAUAUUUUUUUCUACAGGUUGGUUUCAAAAUGUUCUUGGGGGUCACUGCAUCUGUUACAAAUUGGGAUGCUGAUGGAACAUGUUGCAGUAUUGUUCUGGAGGACAAUCCUCUGGUAGACUUUGUUGAGCUUCCAGAUACGUGCCAAGGUCUUUACUAUUGCAAUAUCUUAAGUGGAGUUGUAAGAGGCGCCUUAGAAAUGGUGAGUUGUACUUGUGAUCUCAUGUACUGCACUUGCCUUGACAUGUGCCCCCUCUAUGUGAUGUAUGGUUUUCCCUUUUUGCACUGGUCGCUAUAUAACAGAAUACAACUUCUUACUCUUAUACACGUCUCAUUGGUAUUGGCUUUUAUUUUGACUUACAUAGAGAACACCGUAACUUUCUACUUGUAGUUUCAAUUUUAUUCUUCCAUUUAAAAUAUUAGUUACGGAAGUUGUAGCUAAAAAAGCCAGCUCGCUGCUAGUAACAUCAUUAUCUAUCUAUUUAUAUAUAUUUUUUCAAACUUGGGGGAGUUUUAUUCCUUACAUAAUUCUAUUGUGCUUUGACUCAGCUUCAGUCGUAGUUUAGUUUUAUUGAUUCCUUUCUAAUAUGUAUUGGUAGAAAGUUUUCCAUUUUUUCUCCUACCGAAUGAUUUCGAUUUUCUAUUCCCCAUGCACUUUUACUUAUAGUAUCUAAGAAAACUUGUAUUACCUGCUUGAGGGGAUUCAGCUGAUUCGCAAGGCUAAAAGCACUUUCUGAUGGGAAUAUGGGUCUUGAAGGUUCUAUUAAAACCUAAAAAAAUGAAGGGUGGUAGAGAUUCUGUUUUGACGUCAUAUAUGAGUUUUCUCCGUCUCUUUAUUUUCUCUCUUGCCUCACAGUUACGUUGUUUCCAUGGUCAGGUAUCAAUGAAGACUGAAAUUAGUUGGAUCCGUGAUAUGCUUCGAGGUGAUGAUGCAUUCGAGUUGCAAGUUAAACUCCUGAAGCAAAUUCCAGAAGAGUACCCGUACAAAGAUGAUGAGUAAAAUGCUUGCACUAGCCUGAUACAUAAACAGUUUUAUUUCUGCUUCCACCUUUUCCUUGAAGUCAAAUGUUAGCAGCAGCUUGUUAUGUCUUUAGCACGCGUUCGCGGACACAAUGGAUAACGGUGUUUUUAUUUACUCGCCGUUUAGUUUUUGCCAUUCCGAUGAAUCAUUUUAACGGCUUAAAUGUGCAAUUUGCAUGUUCUGCGACUCUCAUCUUAUUUUUCAUGGAACGGUUUAGUACAAAUUUCAAGAAGAAAGUUAGUUAUUUAAUUGGAAUUUAUUAUUGUUCUAAAAUUAUUAAUGUUUUAUAUAUAUAAUUGUUGUGGGUUGUAAAGAGAAGCUAUCCUUUUUUUCUUCUCUUUUUAAUACAUUCGAUAUUAUCUGUACUAAAGCCAACUUCAAUAGUUGCACUAAAACCAACUUCAAUAGUUGGAUUAAAACUAAGAACAGUUUAAGUUUUAAACUCUCCCAAAAUUGCUCCAAUCAUUGGGCAUAAAAGCAAAUUUGGGUUAAAACCUAUUCUUGGGCCAUAUUCUGCCCAAAAUGCCAGUUAAUCCUAAAAUUCUGGCCACCGUUGGGGGUGCGCGCACAUGAAAAAGAAACACUCGGUGCACUGACGUGCCCUUUGUCCCACGCUCGACAAAGCAGUUAGUGGUUAGUCGUGAAUAAUCUUCCAAUGAGAGUUGAGUACUCAAGGAAAGAGCGAGAUUGACAUUACAAGUCACUGAAUCCUUUCAACACUUAUGGGUAAAGACCACGAAACCGGCUCCCCAGUGGAAGAAGCGACACUCGAAUGGGUAAAACGCCAAUGGAGUGCGCUUCCAUAAUUGUAUAUCGAUUUCAUCAAAUGCUAUAUUGGUGAAUACAUACAAUGUCUCUGUUAAACGAUGCAAAGCCAAUGAGAAUCACUGAAUGAUGGAGCGAGUGGGCAAAAUGUUUGUGUAUCAUCAAUGGGUGAAGCACAAUACUUCUGAUCCCGAUAAACUGAGCACCGUCAAUCUAAUUUUGUCAAGGAGCUCAGAAACAGUUUCCAUACAAACCCUACGGGCACCGGCAGUAUCUAUACCGUGCAAGGCAGAAAGCUUAGUGAACAUAUAACGCCAUGUUCGAAAUCAGAAGCGCAUCACGCUAAUAUCAGAAAAGACAGCCCAAAUAAAUAGAAGUCAAUAGAACUCUCUCUUCCAGAUUGUCAUCACAUUACUGGUUUUCCAUAAUUGUCAAUUGAUAAAUUCUAGCUAAUGUUCAAGGAUCAUUCUAAAGUGAGUCCUAUGUCAUUUUGUGACUUCAUUCAAUUGUACUCUCGCUAAGUAAAUCAGGAGACUUGGAAUCAUACAUUGGUAAGCCCACACAUAUUAAGUGAGAACUUCCUGUUGACCUUCUUCCUGUACUCUACCAAACUAACCAUCAUGAUACCAGUACCAAGACAAACGAAACUUAAAGACUGUUAUUCCAACAACUUUCAGCUGAUUUGAUAAUCUACCGAUCAAACCGUUCCACCCCCUUUUGACGAUCUUUACACAUGAUUCUUUUGGACCUGCAAACAGGAAAGAACCACAAAGAUGGAAUAUAAUUGGCUUUGAGUCAGAACAAGUGAAGAAUUUACAAAAGCUAUAGACACUCAUCACCCCAAGCAAGAAAAGUGCAACCAAGAACUGGGUGAAAGGAAAUAGAGGACGAUUCGUGUUUCUAAGGAGCGAGCUACUCAUCGAAAUGGGCAUACUUAUGGCUUCAACCGGAAGUAGGAGGGUUGGAAGAUUUUGUGUCGAAAGUCUCUUUCGCAAUGUUUGAGACUCCUAAAACAAAGUCCAGACAAUCCCAUCCAUGUAAGCUCGAAGAUCAAUGACCCAAAGGUCUCUGAAAGACUCGUCCCCUCCCAUGUCCCAAAGCGUACCAAUUUGGGAAACCGUGGUCAGUUCGAAGUGUAAGAGAUCAAGACAUGUCCGACCAAUACACUGAGAAUUUGAUAGGAUAAUUCAUUUGUGCGAGUCCAGGAGGAAAAUUAACAUGCUUUUGAUCAAACCUUCCUACUUCCAAGAGGAGAUGGAGAUUUACGAAAGAAAGCUCCUGUGGUAUUGACUCCACUCAGGACCCUCUUGUCUACAGCUCCUUAAGGAAGUAAACAAGUUUGAAGGCCAACGCAAGCUGACUGACCUAAUUGGAAACCACAACAGGCCUGACCCCUCAUUACAAGGAAUCCUCGUACACCCCAUCCAAGCAAGGAAAGCAAGAAAUUUGGCUUGCAACUCUACUACUGAAAUGACCCUGAUGAACACACUAACCUCUGAGUCCAACAUGGCAUACGCCACAAAAUGAUGCCUUCAAAGCUUAACGAAUCUGACUGGGUCUUCGUCCUAACAUCUGAAGAUUAGACUCAUUUGAGGAAUGUGGGAACAGUUUGAUUUCUCAACACAUUUUUCCAGACCGAAUCGCUUGCAUUCUGCGGAUGACUUUGUAAGAUAUUCGCAGAAGUUAUCGUUGUACGUCCAGUAUGCUGGACGCUUCAGUGACAUCUCCGUGUGUGCCCCAGUGACGACAAAGACUGCCCCGCUCAAAGCCUUCAACGGCAAUGCCUACGUGAUUGUUAUUCAAGUAAAAUGAUCAACCACAACUGGAGGACUUACUCUGCAAGGUGAUGUCACAUGCUUACAACUAUGCCUCAGCCGAGGCAAGGGACAUGCCAAAGGAGAAACCCCCCACAACCAAUCCCCUUAGCAAGCCUAGCAGGAGUUGGAAGCCAAACUCCAACUAAAUGAAAAAGACAAUCACAUUCCAAACGGCAACGGUGCAUGCCCUGCUUCCUUAAAAUACUUCGCCAAGUCAACAGACAUAUCAACUCUUAAGGGCAAACGAAAGAUCCCAUCUUCCUUCAGAUAUUAGUAAAAGGAGUAAAGGACACUAUUGCGAUAACCAAGGAUCUGCCUACCCAUCGAUAUCGCCUCCCCCAAGUCCACACAGUGGCAAUACGUGUCAGGAAGGCCCUACACUCGAGUAUGAGACUACAACCUUUGAAUGCCAAUGCCCCGGGCCAUUUCCCGAGGUGAUAGCACCACAUAAUACAUGCCAAUGCCUGGGGGGCAAGGGGGGGGGGGGCCCAAGAACAUGGCAUGUUUUUGCUGAUACCAUGAGCAUAACGGCCAUGACAGCGAAAAGUGUAUCACCAUUCGUGAUCAUAUUGAAACUUUGGUGCGUGAAGGAAAAAUUGAUCAAUUCAUCCUUCAUUCAAAUUGGCAAUAACUAUAACCAACAGCCAAGUGAAUGUGAUUUAUUCCAUAUCAGCCGGUGGGCACACCCAUAUCUGAUCUUCCAACAAAGCAGAAAAAACGCUAAACGGACGAGCUUUAAUGCCUGGUCACCAAGUGUUUGGAAGGACAUUUAGGGGGGGCAAGUAUCAAAAAGCCUAAAUGGGAUCCAAUAUGUUUCUACCCUGAGGAAGAAAGAGGUAUCAUCUACCCUUACAAUGACCCACUGAUCGUGGAAGCUCACAUAGCCAACUUUGAAGUACUACGAAUCCUGGUAAACACGGGGGCUUCAGUCAAUAUUCAUGUUUGCUGAAGCUUUCAGGGCACUUAAUAUAGCUGAACACUUGCUCGAUUCGCUCGAUUUUCCUCUCCUCUAUAGUUUCUCCGAUGAUGAUCGUGCAUUAGGGAGCAUUACUUUACCUUUUCACCAUUGGUAUAAUGCCCUUACAUAACUACCAUGUACCACUAACUUCUUGGUGGUUGAUUGCCCAACGGCAUACAAUGUCAUCUUUGGACGCACAGGCAUCAAUGAUCUCAAGGCCAUGGUAUCUACACAUAUGUUGUUGAUGAAAUUUCCAAUCCUCUAUGGCAAUGGUUACAUCAGAGAAGAUCAACUUAGUGCACGGUCAUGUUUCACACUUUAGUCAAACAACAUCACCUACCUAUGCCCAAGGAAACCCUUUCUAUACAUGACCAAGUCAUAAAUACUAGCCCGAACGAAGCCAACUUAGAUAUUCACGAUGACAACAGUCAACCUGACGAUCCUCAAGACGACUAUUUCACCCAACAAGCAAAACCCGCUGAAGAGUUAGAGAAGGUUUCUAUCUCAAAAGAUUAUUCAGAUCGCAUGGUGAAGAUUGGCACCACCUUGUCACCAUCUAUUUGGUUGUCAUUGAUUUCUUUUUUGCAAGAGAACACUGAGGUCUUCACCUGGUCAUACGAAGACAUACCAGACAUCUCUCCCAAUAUCAUAUGUCAUCACUUGAGUAUUGACCCCAAGACCAAGCCGGUGAGACAGAAGCGAAUAUCUUAUGACGCUGAACGAUACGAAGCAAUGAAGGCAGAAGUUGAAAAACUCAAAGGUAUAGGCUUCGUCCGCGAAGUCAAUUGCCCAACAUAGGUAGAAAAUGUGGUCCUUGUUAAGAAAAAUCAAACCAAAGAAAAGUCUCCUGCUCCAAAAGGUCUUGUGGAGAAUGUGUGUUGAUUACACCGACCUAGACAAAGGAUGUCCGAAGGAUAACUUUCCUCUUCCUCUCAUAGACAGACCUAUAGACUCUAUGGUAGGGUGUGAACUCCUCAGCUUCAUAGAUGUUUACUCAAGAUACAACCAAAUCCUCAUGAACCCUCCGGACCAAGAACACACAGCCUUCAUUAUUGACAUGGGACUAUAUUGCUAUAAAGUCAUGCCCUUCGGCCUAAAGAAUGCAGGGGCGACUUAUCAGAGACUGGUCAAUUCAAUGUUCGUCGAACAGAUUGGGAAGAGCAUGGAAGUUUACGUUGAUGAUAUGCUAGUCAAGAGGAAACAUGCUGACCAACACAUCACCAACCUAUCUGAAACUUUCACCAUUCUGAAGAGGUAUCGAAUGAGGUUGAACCCCAACAAAUGUGCCUUCGGCGUAGACUCUGGCAAAGUCUUAGGCUUCAUGAUAAGCCAACAAGGUAUUGAGGCUAAUCUCGAGAAGAUCAAAGCAAUCAUCGACAUGAAGGAACUGGUAACUUCAAAAGACAUUCAGAGCCUUACUGGCAAUGUGGCAGCCUUAACUAGGUUCAUCUCUAAGGCCACAGACAGAUGUGCUCCUUUCUUCAAAGCACUUAAGGGAAGUAAGAAGUACAUUGCAUGGACUGAUGAAUGUGUCGAGGCAUUCAAGAACCUCAAAGACUACAUGAGUAAAGCCCUUUUGCUUUCCAAACCUGAGGUUAGUGACACUCUCAUUAUCUAUCUGUCGGUAUCAGCUUCAGCAGUAUGUUCUGUUCUCAUUCGAAAAGAUGGUAAUGUCGAACGGCAUGUCUAUUACGCUAGCAAGGCCUUACAAGAUGCGGAGACACGAUACUCCAACAUUGAGAAAUUGGCUCUAGCAUUGGUCAUGUCUGCUUAAAAACUUCGCCCUUACUUCAAAGCACACUUCAUCAUCGUGUUUACUAAUCAUCCUCUUCGACAGAUACUCCAAAGUCUUGACACUUCUAGGCGAAUGAUCAAAUGGGCGAUAUCAUUGGGUUAGUUUGACAUCUCCUACCAACCAAAGCCAGCUGAGAAGGGCCAAGCAAUGGAAAACUUCAUCGCUGACUUCACAUAUCCUGUUGACAUUGUUUCUACGCCUAAAGAAAUGGUUUCAUUACCCUCAGAAGCUCAGAAAAUAGAACCAACAGCCCCAACAUGGAGUCUAUAUGUUGAUGGCUCGUCUAACCAACAGGGUUGUGGAGCAAGACUAGUCUUUACGACCCCUAACAAAGUGGCGAUGGAGUAUGCUCUUCGUUUCAAAUUCAAGGCGUCGAACAAUAAGGCCAAAUAUGAAGCUCUCAUAGCAGGCUUACAUUUGGCCAAACACCUUGGGUUAAACGAAUUGAUAUCUUCAGUGACUCCCAAUUGGUGGUUAAUUAGGUCACCAACAACUUUGACGCUAAGGAUAGCUCCAUGGCAGCAUAUUUAGCACAAACACAAUUGUUGCUCAAGCACUUCUACUACCAGAUCACCAAAUUCCUCGAGCGGUAAAUAGUUAUGCAGAUGCUUUGGCUCGCCUCGCCUCAGCGAUGGAAGACAAGAUUGGGAGAAAAAUUCAGGUUGAAUUAUUGGCAGCACCAAGCACCAUGGCUACGAAAGUGUGCAACUUACAACAUGAGGAUAGUUGGAUUACCCCAAUUUAUAGAUUCCUGGCUCAUGACACCCUUCUAAAUGACAAAGUCCAAGCUAAGCAGAUUUGAUACAACGCUACCUGUUACUUGAUCAUUAAUGACCAACUCUAUAAGCGGGGUUUUAACCUACCAUACCUAAGAUGCCCUACGCCCGCAGAGGUGGAAAUUGUUCGUCAGGAAAUAUAUGAAGGAGUCUGCGGAGAUCAUGCUGGAUCUCGAUCCUUAGCACACAAGGCUUUUCGCCAAAGAUAUUACGGGCCAACACUCUACCAAGAUGCUAUCAGAAUAUUUCGCUCAUGUGAUAAGUGUCAAUGCUACGCAACUAUUCCUCACUCCCCUCCCGAGCCGCCCACUCCUAUGAUCAGCCCUUGGCCCUUGGCCCAAUGGGGACUUUAUUUGAUCGGCCCAAUGCUUGCAGGGAAGGGUAAGGUCUGCUAUGCAAUCGUUGCAGUUGACUACUUCACAAAAUGGGCUGAAGUAGAAUCCUUGGCAACCAUUACUGAGGCAAAAAUAGAAGAUUUCGUAUGGAAGAACAUCCUUUGUAGAUUCGGCAUUCCCAAUGCUAUAGUCACUGACAACGGGUGACAGUUCGAUAACAAUAAGUUCAGGAUGUUCUGCUAUAAGUUAAACAUUAACUUAUAUUUUGCCUCCCUAGCUCAUCCCCAGUCUAAUGGACAAGUUGAAGCCAUCAACAAAAUAAUCAAGCGAACUUUGAAAACCAGCUUGGAUAAGGCUAAAGGUUGUUGGCCAGAAUUUGUACCCCAAAUUCUUUGGUUAUAUCGCAGUUUGUAUCAACAUCAACAGGAGAAACCCCAUUCUCACUUGCCUUUGGUACGGAGGCAGUUGUUCCAGUUGAGCUUGAGCAAGCAACGUUCUGAGUCCAGAACUACGUGCAAAGCAAAAAUGACAAACAACUUACCCUCAACUUAGAUCUAGUCGAGGAACACAUAAACCAGGCUCACUUGAGGAAUGUCGCCUACAAGCAGCGCAUCUCCAACUACUAUGACUCAAGGGUCAAACCUUGUUCUUUCAAAGUAGGGGACUGGGUAUUGAAGAAAAGAUUACUCUACGACAGAGUCUCGAGUAAAGGAACACUUAGUCCAAACUGGGAUAGAUUGUUUGAAGUUGUUGACAUUUGUCGCCCUGGGUCCUACAAGCUUAUAAGCUCCGAUGACAAAACCCUUGGCCAUCCAUGGAACGCUGAUCACUUGAAGUACUAUUUCAAGUAAACUCACAUUGUACAAGUGUUAAGCUUUAGCCGUUCGGUAUCCUAUGUAACGAAGACUAUUUGGCAUGAAUUCAAUAAAGAUGUGAUUUAGACAACUCGGUCCUAAUCCUCUUACAUUCUUUGCAAUGAAACACUCAGGUUCAAAGCUUCAACAUGAAUGCUUCCAACAUGAAACAAAGUCUAUGUCAACAAGACUAUGCAAAUAAACGAACAGCUUCACAGUAUAUUCGUUCAAUCAUACAUUCCAACACAUUCAUACAUAAGCCAACUGUGCUUCGAAAGGGUUCAACUUACUUUGUGUCAUUCGACACUUGCUACAAUGUGCCUCGACACCUUGCCCUUAUUCUCACCAACCAGGUGAUGAAAUGUAAAGAAUGAACUCAUCUUCAUGCCACCAACCAGGUGAUGAAAUGUACAACAUGUACUCUCUUCAUGCCACACCAGGUGAUGAAAUGUACAACCGUACUCUCAUUCAUGCCACCAACCAGGUGAUGAAAUGUACAACCCGUACUUUAAUAUCAUUAGGCAAUUUGCCACUCAUGCCACCAACCAGGUGAAGAAUGAACUUAUCUUCAUGCCACCAACUAGGUGAUGAAAUGUACAACCCAUACUCUCCUUCAUGCCACCAACCAGGUGAUGAAAUGUACAACCCGUACUCUAAUAUCAUUUGGUAACUUGCCAUUCAUGCCACCAACCAGGUGAAGAAGGAAUUCAUUCUCGUGCCACCAACCAGGUGAUGAAAUGUGAUGAAAGGUGAUGAAGGAACUCACCUUCGUACCACCAACCAAGUGAUGAAAGCAACUCACCAUUCAUUCCACCUACCAGAAGAUGAGUGGUACAACUUGUACAUGUGAACUCCUAGCAUUCACAAAUAAUAAAAAACCCUCAAGCUUAACAACUCAACUAGGGGAGUACUUAUGCCCAUUAAGAGUUAUAGUCACCAACAAAGUCUUAUUGCAAGCCAACAACAAUUUCAGUGUAUGGCAUGCGAAGAUCAAGCUAUUCAGCUCUCUUGCAUUUGUUUCAGACAUUUCCCCUCUGUAACAAUGCAAACACUACAACUCGUAGAAAGCUUCACACACUUUUGAUCAAGACAACAAAACCAAUUUAUGGUGCCAACAAGAGCUUCAUCAAUUGAGGGCAACCACAAUUCUCAAAAGCUUCACACAUUCUUGAUCAAGACAAUGUGAAGUAAAACCAAUUUAUGAUGUCAACAAGAGCUUCAUCAAUGGAGGGCAACCACAAUUCUCAAAAGCUUCACACACUCUUGAUGAAGAUAGUGUGAAGCAAAACCAAUUUAUGGUGCCAACAAGAGCUUCAUCAAAGGAGGGCAACCACAAUUCUCAAAAGCUUCACACACUCUUGAUCAAGACAGUGUGAAGCAAAACCAAUUUAUGGUGCCAACAAAAGCUUCAUCAAUGAAGGGCAACUACAACUCGUAGAAAGCUUCACACACUCUUGAUCAAGACUGUUCGAAGCAAAUUCAAUUUAUAUGGUUCAUCCAAACCUUUGACUACUACAAGGUGUGGCUUUCAUCACAAUCUCUUGCUUAACAGUGUGGAAGCAAAAUUUGUAUAUGUUGUCUCUCCCAUAUUUUCAAAUUUCUAGUUUCCCAAAAAAAACAAAAAGGGAAAUUCAACAAAGCUUCAUCAAUGGAGGACAACUACAAAUUAUCAAAAGCUUCACACUAUCUUGAUUAAGAUAGUGUGAAGCAAAAUCAAUUCAUGGUACCCAACAAAGCUUUACCACAAAAGCUUCACCAACAAAAGCUUCAUCAAUGGAGGACAACUACAAAUUCUCAAAAGCUUCACACUAUCUUGAUCAAGAUAGUGUGAAGCAAAAUCAAUUCAUGGUACCCAACAAAAGCUUCAACUCCAAAGCUUCACUUACAAAGCUUUAAAUCCAAAGCUUCACCUACAAAAGCUUCAACACAAAAGCUUCACCUACAAAGCUUCAACUCCAAAGCUUCACCUAUAAAGCUUCAACCCAAAAGCUUCACCCACAAAAGCUUCACCUACAAAGCUUCAACUCCAAAGCUUCAUCUACAAAGCUUCAACACAAAAGCUUCACCCACAAAAGCUUCACCAACAAAAGCUUCACCCGCAAAAGCUUCAUCACCCACAAAAGCUUCACCCACAAAAGCUUCACCCACUACAAAAGCUUCACCUACAAAAGCUUCACACUAUCAUGAUCAAGAUAGUGUGAAGCAAAAUCAAUUCAUGGUACCCAACAAAGCUUUAACCUUAAAACUUCACCUAUAAAGCUUCAACACCAAAGCUUCACCUACAAAGCUUAUUUUUUUUCUUUCGGAAAUUCGAAAAUUUGAAAGAAAAAAAAAAUUCAAAAUUCAAAAAAAAAAAUUUGCAUAGGCCUCAUCUUUUUUGGGCCUAACAACUUUCAUAAGGAGUUUUGGGCUACCAUUUAGAAAGGAAAUGCCUCAUUCGUCAACUCCCUCGACCAGAGACUUGGGGGACUCCUACCAUAUGCUACUGCACCUUGAUACUCGGAAGUCUCACGACCACUCAGUGACUUGGAUUUUUCAAGUCUCCAGCCAAGAAGUUUUCCUCACUCAGGAAAUUAAGGGAGAACUACUUCAACAUGCAAGCUUCAACAAAAGAAAAAACUCAAAGAACUUAGUGAAGAAGGCCUUGGUGUAUUUAACACAAUAUGUUGAAAUGAAGCAAAGCUUGUUUAUUGAUAUCUCCGCUAAGUUACAAAUAUGUACAUAUACAUGAAUCAAAAUAAACAAACAAGAGGGAGCCUUCACAAAGGUUGCUCAGAAAAAGUCUCAGCAGUCUGCAGAGCCCUAGAAAGAGGAGGCACCAGAGGAUGAUUAUUCGGAGCCUCAGUACUAGGCAGAACCCUAGAAGGAGGAGGCACCGAAGGUUAAUCAUUUGGAGCUUCAUUACGUGGUACAGGCCCAAAAGACGAAGGCAAUAAAUGCUUUUGGAACAAACCCACAAACCUCUGAUGAUCAAGUAAAAUCUGACCAUCAGAUUCCUGCAGUUAGUCGAGCUUCCUCUUCAUGUUUGUAGCAUAGUCAUGUGCGAGCCUGUGCAACUGUGUAUUCUCAUGCUUGAGCCCUUUGAUCUCCUGUUUGAGACUUAUCACUUCAGCCGCCAAUGAUUCAACUUGGCGGGUUCAAGCAAAUAGGCAUUGGGCCAUAUUAGACACAGAACCUGCUGAACAUUGAGAGCCAGAGAAUCCUUAACAGCUAACUCAUCAGACCGUUUGGAAAGUAGUCUGUUAUCUUUGGGAGUGAGAAGGUUCUUGGCCACCAUCGCAACUGUCAUAUCAUUCUUCAUCACAGAGUCCCCAAUGAUAAGAGGACCAGUAGGGGAUAAGAAGGAUGGGCGCCAUAUGUUGUCUUGAGAGGGCAUGGCUGCCUCUUCACCAAAGUUCAAGUCAAAACGAUGGUUGGAUGGGCCAUACAUUCUCAGAAAUGAUGAAGGAGAAAUAAGGUGCAAUAAAUCUCUGAAGUACAAAAAUAAGGGGAAAAUUCCUACAAGUAAUAACUCUCUGAACGUACUUCUUGCACACAAUUGGUGCCUCUAUAAAAGAAAGGGCAACAAGGCCGUUGGUUCCAAAAUCGAAGAUGCACCACUCUUCGGAUUUCGAGAAGCAGAUUUUCCUGAGUAAAAUAUGUCGACAAUCCCCACACGCAACAUCAGCUUCUUAGGUACCACAGAUAACUUUGCCAAAGAUCUCUGACAAAGUUUAGACACAUAAAUUUUGAAGGUACAGCUACCCUACUAUUACCCACAAGGGUAAAAGAACAACACCACUACUUGAUAACUGGAAAGUCCCUAUGUGUGUCAACCUCCGUGCUCCGUGGCAAGGCAGACUGGCAAAAAUGCCCAACCUUUACUCACAUUCGAGAAAACACUCCCAACAAGAUUGCUUGCUCAAAAAUCGAAAAGGCACAGCUCUCCGAAUUUCGAGAGUCAGACUCCCACCAGGAUUACUUGCUCAAAAAUCGAAGAGGCACCGCCUUCCAAAUCUCGAGAGCCAGACUCCCAAUAGGAUUACUUGCUAAAAAAUCGAAGAGGCACAUCUCUCUGAAUCUCGAGAGCCAGACUUCCAACAGGAUUACUUGCUCAAAAAUCGAAGAAGCACUGCUCUCCGAAUCUCAAGAGCUAAACUCCCAACAGGAUUGCUUUCUCAAAAAUCGAAGAGGCACCGUUCUCCGAAUCUCGAGAGCUAGAUCCCCGACAGGAUUACUUGUUCGAAAACCAAAGAGGCACCGCUCUUUGAACUUCGAGAGCUAGAUUUCCUUGGAUAAAUCUUGUCUGCAAUCUUCACACACAACAUCAGCUUUCCAGAUACCACAUACCACUUUUUCAAAGUGCUCUGACAAAGUUAUAACACAUGAAUCUUGCAACUUCCACUACAUUGCUAUGACCGAUAAGGGUAAAGGAAGAGCAUUACCACUUGCUGUUGGGACAAUUCCUAUAUAUGCCGACCUUCAUCCUCCACAACUAGGCAGACCUGCAAAUAAAAAAAAAUGCUCAACUUUUCUUCACAUCCGAGAGGGCACUCUUAGUAGAGUCUCUCGAAAUACUCAGCUUCUUUUCCCCCCGAUAAUACCUCUGCAAACAAGCCACACCAGAGUAAGAGUAUCUCAUAUCAUUAGGGUUCAAAACAAGAGAAUCCCAUAUCAUGCUUUUUCCCUGUCUUUUCCUUUGACCUUGUUUUUACCUGCAAGACAAGGAAAAAGAGAGCAAUCAGUCAGCACUUGGAAUCAAGCUUCCAGUCAGGAACUAACUACCUGGAACCCCUUGCCUGAUUACUUACCUGGCAUUGCUUUUGAGUACUCAUCUUUAACAUCUUAUGCUUCUAGAGAAGAUACCACACCUGCCUGAGGAACAGAUAGGGUACGUGAGAAUGAUAUAACACGUAAUAGAACAGAUAGGGUAUGUGGAGACAAGCGUAAUAGAACACGUGCCGAUACAUCCACUACUUUGUUAACAGCAAAAGUAUCCCAUAUCAUAGGGUCGAAUGUACUCUAGAUUUGAUGGACUUGUUUUGACCCUCAAAUUCUUAAGUCGGUCUUAUACUCUGGAGGAAACCAGAAAACCCUCCAGCCCAGUUCAAGAAUAAGCCUGUGGAAAGUUACUUCUUUAAAAGUAAAAGUAUCUUAUAUCAUCUAUUCUCCAUUUGCUUCUCAUUGUCCUUGUUGCUGUUUAUGACACAAAGAGAAGAAGAACAAUCAACCGAAAACCGAAGUCGAACCUCUGAUCCAGGUUGCUUGCUUGGAAGUCUGAUUGCUUACCUUGUCUGUUACCUCUUUCGGCAAAUCUCCUAGCUCGGCGACUUGGGGGACUCCUACUAUAGGGUUUGUAUCGCACUUGACCAAGCCUGAAACUACAAGUAAGCUUCAAGUGAAAUUGAUACAUUUCCUUGUACAUCUUCAUCGGUUAAAGAUACCACCCCUGGAUAGAGGAAAAGUACUUCCAGAGAAGAUGCCACAUCUACAUAUGAGACAGAUAAGGCAAGUGAAAAUGAUACCACACUUCGGUACUUAAAAGUUUCGUGAUUACUCAAUGGCUUGGAUCUUGCAAGUCCCCAACCGAGGAGCUUCCUUUACUCGGGAACUUAGAGGAGCACUGUUUGUACCAUACUUGACCAAUCCUGAAACUACUGAGCACCGGUCAACGUUAUACUGUAAAGGACCCAGAAGAGUUUCCCUCCAACCAGGAGGCUAAUCACAGUGCGACACAUGUCGACAUCAGAAGCCAAUCAUAGUGCGACACGUGUCAACAUCAGAAGUCAAUCACAACACGACACGUGUCAAUGUCAGAAUGAAACUAGAAACUCUCUUCUAUAAAUAGAGAUCAUUCUCUUACAAUAUUUCCUAAUGUCAUUUGUACUAAAUCAUUCACUAGUACUCACUAAAGGAGAGCUUGAACCUAUAUACUUGUGUAAACCCUUCACAAUUAAUAAGAACUCCUUUACUUCGUAAACGUAGCCAUUAUGGGUGAACCACGUACAUCUUGUGUUUGCUUCCCUAUCUCUAUCUAUUUACAUACUUAUCCACACUAGUGGCCGGAGCAAUCUAGCGAAUGACACAAACUUAACAAUUUCUGUUGUACCAAAGUCCUUGCUGAUUUUGUGCAUCAAUAGGUUCAAAUAUAAGAGAAAUUCUCUAUCAACAAUAUCUUUAUUCGCACUUCAAAUAUGAAUAUUACUGCCAGAGUUUUAUGAUGUAUCAAAAAAAUCAAAGCUCCUUAUCAAAUUUGAACCAAUGACUUACGCAUUACCAUGACGUUACUCUACCACUGAGUUAAAAGAGCUUGUUUGAUCCAAUUCCUAAUCACUUUGAUAUUGAUAAUGACUCCUUAACCAAUUUUUCCAUUUGAUUCAUUCUAGAAUUGCGAAGAUUCUUAGGUCUUUAAUUCGGAAUCAAAUAGUUCUUGUCUUACAACAACCAAAAAAAAAAAAAAAAAUCCUUUAUUUCAUUUUUAAGAAAAAAGGGUUCCACAUUAUAUUGAAGUACGGAUUUCAAUUCCUAUAAAAGGUACUUCAAAUUGUGAAUUCAUUGCCAAAGAUGGCUUAGAAUCAAUAGUUUAUUAUCUAAUGAAUUUUUUUGUUGAAUCCUGAUUGGUUUGAGCUUUGUCCUUAGUCUUGAAGUUAAAAGCCUUAGGAGUCAGGGAAUCACGCUCCAGGGCUGAAUUUUUCCCUUUGAUGGGCCUCUACUCUGUUAACCUUAGGCCUGUGGCUGGGGGGCCUUUUGCCACGGCCAUGACCCCUCUUGCGUCCUUUGUAUCCUCGAGAAGUGGUAGAAUGCGUUUCAGGUACAGCGUUCGAGCUAGUAAGUCUAGCUUGAUAUAUCUUCAUCAAAAGUUAAUUGUGCUUUUCAGCAAGUAGUAAGAGAGAUAUAUCAAAUUCAAAAACUUAAUGAAUUCUAUGCCCUAUUGGAUGACAAUAUUGCUGGCAUGAAAAGUUGAAUACGUCUUCUUUAGGAGAUCCUGUUUAGUCAAGCCCUCAUUACAAAACUUGAGAAGUGAUUGGAUUCGACAAAUUUCAGAAUUGUACUCAUUUACAAACUUGAAGUCUUGGAGGCAUAAGUGCUACUAGUCAUGUCUUGCUUCAAGUAAUAAGAUAUUAUUCUGGCGAUUAAAACGAUCUGCAAGAGCUAGCUAGAGAGUGCAUGGAUCCUCUUUUGUGUGGUAUUUGGUUUGCAGUACAUCAUGCAUAUGUCUUCAGAUGAAUUGUUAAUUUACGAAAUUGGGUUGCUGGCCAUAAAUUUGUGCAGGAAAAUAGAAAGUGGCCUAGCAGCAGGGCGGGUCGAGAAAUAGGGACCCAUCAAGGUAGCUGCAGGCUAUAGAGAGAAGCACAGAAACCUUUGGGCUUGAGCUCGGUGUGCGACAAGAGGCCCAACACAUGAGCCGCAAACAAAUGCCAAAACGCAGUCGUUUGGAGCAGGGGCUGCAAGCUUGGCUCGAAUUCGCCAAGUGGCGCAGUGCAGCUUAGCUUCUAGCCAUGCCAGGCUCGGCUUUCGGCACAGCUAAGCCGCGCUGUAUCAUUUUUACCAUCGGUUUUAGGGUUUUCAAAAUCCUAGUUCGUGAUUCUAUUUUCUUGUUUUUUUUUUUUUUUUUUUUUUUUAACUCACAUAUCAACAUAGCAAUGUAGCAUAAUAUAUGGUAAUUUGCAUGAUGGAAAUAUUAAUUGUUUAUGCAUGAACAUGCUAUAUAUAUAUUGAACAAUGUAUGCAAUAUACAAUUAUAAAAUAUAAGCAAAACGGGGGAUUCAUGCAUCAUGGUGAAUGUUUUCAUGCUAACAGUGGCAUAUAAAAUAUGUAUUAAUUGAAAGGCAAGGAUUUUCUCUUCCUUACUACUAUAAAUAAAAGCAAAAUGUUAACACACACAUUAGAAUUCACCAAUUCUUAUAAAAGAUACUAUAGAAACUCAUAAGGAGUUACAUAAUCACAUUUCUAACUAAAUUGGAACUGCAACACAGAAUUUUUUUUUUUUUAUACAAAGUAAUAGAAAUGCUGUAAAAUCAAAGUAAUAGAAAUGCUGUAAAAUCACUAGAUGUUCAAGUCUUGAACUUUUUAAGGACGAUCAUAAUAUCUCUCUCUACUUUUGUAUGUUGACAUAUCCAAACGCGUGUUCUCCCUUUCAGCCAUAGAUUUCUAAUCAACGCAUUACUAUUACCGAUCACUCCACUGCCGAAGCUGUUAUAAAUUCUAUUUCACACUUCCAUGGCGUAGAUCCCUCUAUAUUUAUCUUCGUAAUGUCCUGGAAUCCUAGAAUUUUCUGUUAUAUUUAAGUCAUUUCGAAGUAUUGAUUGGCAAGAAUGACAUAACUUGGAGCUCUGAGGAUGGUUACAGGUAAUCGAUCGGGUGCACUUAUUGAUCAUCAUAGUUCAUUUAGUUAUUGCACCAAGAGUGAUCACAAUAAGGGAAUGAUUUCCGCACACUCGUUUUCAUUUUUUAUGCAUUUCUGUUUAUGUCUCUUGAUUCUCAUUUGAUUUAUUCAAGUUAAAGAUAAAAAAAAAAUGUGAAGAUCACUUGCUAAAACGAAAACUACUUGCUGCGUGUUGUAUAAUUUUCUUUAAGUAUAUUGGAAGUUUUCAAGUUGGAAAUAAUCUUAAUUUCUUGUACACAAAUUUGUUUUCUGUUAGCAAAAUAUUUUGUUCAUCAACCUUUACAUCUGUUUGACUGUUUCUGCAUAAACAAAGAGAUCAGUGUAAGUAUUUGCCAUUUCUAGUCUUAGGGUUUUAUCAUCCUUCUUCCUAAAAUGGUAUGCAAGAGAAAUGGAAACGUGAUUACCAUAAUUAUGUGUAGUUAAAAAUUGAAGCGAAUAAAUUUGUUAGCUUCGCUGGUUAAGCUGGUGGAUGGAGAAGGUCAAUAGACCCUAUAACACUAUUUUAAACACACACACGUAUAAAUUUAGGUAUUCUUUCAAUGAUCAGUGUUGUAAAAACCCAGUCAAGUUUGAAACCACAAAAUCACUCAAUUAAAUUGUUGUCGUUUUAGUGUUUUCUCAAACUACUGUGUUCGUAAAUUUGUUGUUGCUAAAUAUAUAUGUAUGUAUGUAUGUAUAUCCAACAAUGGCAAUGUACAUGAGACUGGUGUUUAACAGCUUUUCAGGUAUUUGAUGAACUAGGUUCAACCAGUAUGAGAUUAAUAUUAAACUAGCCAACAUAAAAAGUACCUUCCUUUUUGUCAAAAUACAGCACAGUACUUUAUUCUCUAAACAAAACUCUCUUCAAAAUCAUUUUCAUUCUAAAAAUCAGCUCAUUAAAACUAUCAAUCAUUACUAUGUCAUUUGAUAUGAAAAUUGGUGCUUAUAGGCAUAAGUUAUCAGACCAAACAAUUUUCUAAUCUAGCUUGAUGAUUUUACAAGGAAAAUCCUUGAAAGAACUAAAUGCACUUUAACAUUUCAGAUCAUUAAUAUAUAGUUGAGCGACAUCGAGAGUUUGAGAGCGAUAUCGAGAGACAGUGAAUCCAAAACAAAUGGAAAUCUUAGGUACAAGAGUGUAUGCUCUUAAUAUAUAAUUGAGUCAUUUGCUUGUGUUUCAUAUUAAAUAUUAAAUUUGUGCAUGGCUUAAUUUCGGAAUGUCUAAUUUCGUGGGAUGCAUUCAGUUAAUUACAUCCCUCAUUUCUUAGGGUUCAAAUCUUGCAAAUUCUGAGGGUUUGAAAGCUUGUUUCAGAUUCGAAGGCAGUCCUAAUGGAUUUCAAACCUCCCUUCCAACAAAUCUGCAAGGCAAUACUCUUACAGAAUUCCACCCAUGAAGCAUUAUCAAGUCAUGAUGAUGACAAGGUUUCUCUUGUUGAGGAAUGUGAACUGCCGCUGAUAGAUCUUAGUCAUCUAAAUUUGGGUCACUUUGAGGGAGACAAGUGUAUGAAUGAGAUCGCUCAAGCAGCCAGCCAAUGGGGUUUCUUCCAAGUUGUGAAUCAUGGAGUUUCACAAGAAAUUAUAAAGAGUAUGCAAAAUGAGCAAAGGAGGCUAUUUCAUAAGCCUUUUGCAGAAAAGGUUGAAAAGAAUUUCUUGAAUUCAUCCAGCAAUUGUUACCGCUGGGGGAAUCCACAAGCUACUUGUUUGAGGCAGUUCUCAUGGUCAGAAGCAUUUCAUAUAUCUGUCACCGAAAUUCCAACGAUGAAUGAUCAUCACAACAGUCUCAGGUACGUAUAUGAUUAUAUAUUUGUUAAUUAACUAGGCUUAUGACUACAAAAAAAAAAAAGACAAUAUAUAGCAGUGGAGAUGCUAUACUUAAAUUUCUGAGAAUGAAAAUGACAUGGAUAAUUUAAGAACGAUACUUUAUAAAUUGUUUAGGUAUAAGAUAAGCAUACCUUGAUAAUGAUAUCUUGCUGAAAUUAAUUAGAAUGUAAUAUAUAUUUUUAAAAUUUGUGACUAAUAUGCAUUUAGAUACAAGAAGUUUCAUAUUGUGAUUAAUGUGUUGUGACUAAAUAGUCACUUUCUUGUGGUGCAAUAGUCUGAAUACUAAAUCAUCAUAAACUUUGAAGCUUUAACUGUAAAUCUUGAUUAAGGUUAUUUCGGAUGUGGGAUUUUUAUCAAGUCCCAAGAGAUUGUGGCCGAGCUAGUAAGGAAUAGAUCACAAAAUAUUAAUAGGAGAAAUUACAAUGCACCAUAUGAAUGUUGCAAAAGUAUACAAGAGUGAUCUACAAAUGACUACUUUUAAAGGAGUCAUUUACAAAUACCUCUUACAUACAUUUGUAAUAAUUAAUCAAGUAGCGCAUUUCUUAUCCCUCGUAUCUAACAUUUUGUAGUACAUAUUUUUCUCGUUUGCCCUAUAUCCCUUGAAAUAAGAAAUCCCUCCCUCAAAAAUAGUUUAAACUAUUUAAUAUAUAUAAUGUACGUAUAUAUAUAUAUAUAAAUUCUUUAUAAAAACAAGUAGACGUUGAUCAUAUAUGUUUAGAUGGGAAGUGAUUUUUUACACUCUUUAUAGUUUCUCACAAAUCUUUUUUUAUUUAUGACCAUCAGAUUAAGUCCAACAAAAUCAACAACCAAGAUUAAACAGAAGUGUGCAAGAGGCUAAAAAAUGUGUCAAACUCACUUCCCUAUUUAAAUUCAUCUGCUUUUGGUAGGUGUAUUUAUAUUCAUCUUUACAACGCUAACAAUUAACAUGGGAAGCUUUGGAUUAAACUACAGAGAAAUAGGACAGAUGAUCUUCUUGGAUCUCUUUAUUUAUUUAUUUUUUAACAAACGAUAUUAUUUAUAAAGAGAAAAGGGGUGAGCUUAGCCUCAGAAUAGGCUAACAGUAAUGUGAUUCAAAUUCGUCUUUGACGAGAAUCGUCUUGGUUCUUUUUAUUAACAAGUAACAACCAUCCCAAUUUUGAAUUAAAUUUUAAUGCGACAGUAUCGCCAUGUACUAUUUAUUGAUGUAUCAUAAUAUGCAUGAAUGACAUAAUUGAUGUACCACAAAUAUAGAGUAUAAAAUCAAUAAAUUACUUAUACGAUUUCAUAAUAUCUACAUUUGCAAGACAACUGACCAGUGACCAAGGAAAGGGAGAAAAAUUCAUGGACUAAUUCCUUCAGCCCUUUUUCUACCCCUACUAUAACAAAUUCCACUGAUGUGUUUGCCAUCUUUGUACUGGAGUGCUUGUACUAAUACGAAAGUGUUUGUGCUUGUUUUAGUUGUUAAGAGUUUACUUUUAUGUAGUUUUAAGCGAAUUAUCUCCAGAUCAAUAUAUUGAACAUUGAAGAAUGUACCCGUACAACAACUCUUAUAAUUGUGUUAUGGGAUGUAAUAUUCACACAUCUCAUUUUACUUCUCACACACCUUUUUAAUUUUCGACUGUCGGAUCGGAUGAAUUGAAGAAGAUCAACGGACAAAAAUUAUCAAAAGGUGUGUGAGAAGUAAAAUGAAAUGUGUGGAUAAUGCACCCCUUGUGUUAUUAUAUGAGGAUGUAUAGACAGAGUACCUUUAUUUUUAGAAUCCAUCUAUAGUAAUAUAGAUUGGCAUUCUAUGGUAAAGAGCACCUAAGUAUGUCGCAUGUCGUACUGAAAGUGAAGGACCUCUUGUCAUUUGACAAGCCAACACUCCGCACUUUUGCAGGCGUCAUGCAUAAUUUGGGGUUUUAGGCUUUGGGUAGUUUCGAUAUGGUUAGUGUUAUCUUCUUUGAAAAGGGAUCCUCUCCGGAUCUCUUCCAUCAAAUCUAAUAAUUUUGAUCUUUGAAAUUUAAUCUAACGGUUAAAAAUAUGGGUUCCUUUAAAAGUUAUAAUAAUUUUAGCUGUUGAAUCAAAUUUUAAGGACCCAGAUUGAUGGAUUUGGUGGAAUUGGUGGAAUUGAUACGGAGACGAUCCCCUUCCAUCUUCUUUUAACUUCUAUAUAUAUAUCUGAUUAUUUUUGUUCAUUGAUCUUUUUUAAUUCGUUUAAUUUGAUGAUUAAAAACUAAUAAGAGCGUGUGAAAAGUAAAAAUGAGUGUAUGAACAGCACCAUAAUCACCCUUUCAGUAGAGGUCAUUCACAAACUUGAAUAUUCGUAGUCUAUGUCCCUUGGUAUAUACGUUGUACAGAAGACACAUUGCCAUAACUGUAUAACCUCUCUAGUCCCUAGGGAUGUUAUACCACUUUUGAGUUAACUAAGAUGGAUUAUUAGUAGCGUUUCUUAAUUAUUAUUAGUAGGUCUUGUGUUCUCGUAAAUUGCAAGUUUGAUACUAAUUUAUUGUAGUUAUUUCAUUGUGUUACUCACUCAACCCUUAAUGUAAUUAUAUAAUUGUAUAUACAGAAAAUAUUAUGAAAAGUGACAGUUGUUUUGGUAAGCAAGUCCAAAUUCUGGCUACAUAUUUGUUGGCUUUGCCUAAUCCUAAUUUAAUUGGUUCUAACAAUAAGUGAGAAAAUAAAAAUUCCUACGUUUUCUUUAGUCGAAUGAUAGCAUCAGUGAGGAUCAAACUUGCACCAAGGUGCAUAUGCAUAAUUAUUUGUUGUCAUUGUAUAGUAAAGCGUCAUCUGCUAAAAAAAAACUCGUAUGUUGCUCAACCAUAAUUAUAUCACAUAAGCUAACAACACCAAGUGAAAAUGUUAUGCUCCUGCCCCAAGUAUUUUGUCACUACAAUAUGCUUCUAGUCAUAGACUAGUAAAUUAUCUAUGGUCAGUUUGAUUGUCAUUUUAGUUUUCAUCUGAAAACUUGUUUGAUAAUUGCUUUCAAUUUAAAAAACAAUUGAAAAUUUAAAAGAAAAACCAAGCCAAAAUUUGAAAACUUACAAAAGUAGCUUUCAAAUUUUAGUUUUCUGUUCAUUGGAAUAAAAACUAAAAACAAUAACCAAAAAUUUUUUGUUUUGAACAAAAUGGUUAUCAAAACCACCUUAGUUUGGUUUUUAUUUUCCCAAUUUUUGUCCGAUGUUUGGUUAAUCACCGUCUUACAGAUCAACAAUUGAAGCAUUCGUGAAGACGGUGUCUGGUUUGGCUAAACGCUUAGCUGAAAUACUGGCACAGCCUUUGGGUGUCAAACCGAAUUACUUUGAAGAGAAUUGUCCACCAAGAACUAGUUAUCUUCGACUGAAUAGAUAUGCUCCAUGUCCAUUUCCUUCGCAAGUGUUUGGCCUCAUCUCGCACACCGAUACCGAUUUCCUAACUAUAGUUCACCAGGACCAAGUAGGAGGCCUGGAAAUAUUUAAAGAUGGAAGAUGGUUGGCUGUUAAACCUAAUCCUGAAGCUCUUGUUGUCAACAUUGGGGACUUCUUUGAGGUAAUACUCGUAUAUUUUUUAAUUAAUUGUUCAAAUUUACUUCGUAUAACUAGUGAGGGAAAUGGGUUCCUAUUGACCAAAAAAAAAAAAACUAACCAAAAGUGAUUUUAGUUUUAAUCAAAAAGACAAAAUAAAGGUAGUACCAGGAGUGAUUUUUCAAAGUAAAAAUGUCAACGUUAAAAAUGAAUUGUACAAAGAGUGUUUCAUUAAGAUUCCAAAAAAAAAAAAAAGGGAAAAGGGUUUCAGUUUUACUAUGGUUUUUGUAAAGUUGAUUUUUUAAGGGUAUUAAAAACUACUCAAACGUUGCAUCGUGAGAUCACACACACAUAUAUAUAUAUAUAUAUAUAUAUAUAUAUAUAUAUAUAUAUAUAUAUAUAUAUAUAUAUAUAUGUGUGUGUGUGUGUGUUUUGCAGGUUGUCUUGCAUUCUAGUCCUUACUUUUAUUUAAAAUAAAAAAAAAGGAAUGUAUAAUUAAGUAUAACCGGAUUUUAGAUAUUGGGAUUAGGGUUUAACUCAAAUUAAGAUCUUUUUAAGUUAGAUAGGAACUUUGAUAUAUAUUAAAAUUCUAUUAACUACAUUGUAAAAGAUGAAGAAUUGGUACAAAGGAAGAUGAAGAUGAUAGAGAGAACCAGAAAGAUUGUAUUGAUUAAAAUGGAUAAAAUGUAUACAAAAGAACUUAAGGAAAUGAUAGCUAUACAAUCCCUUAUAUAGCCAUAUAACCUAAUUACAAUAAUACCUUCUAACUAUACUAACCAAUCUUAUCCUUAUGACAACCUACCAACACAUUUCAACUAACUAUAUUCUUCAUUACUAAGUAACCAUGUCAUCACUAAUGACUAUGGUUAAUACUCCCCCCUCAAACUGAACUUGGUGUAGCCAAGUGAUGGUUGAACGAGCUAGAUCGCUAAAACUGAUCUGGAACUGCAAGACCAAGAUGUAUGCAGGGGCUGUUGUCGUUCAUCAAUUCUGCCAUGUUGGCUAUUUCUCAUUUAUUGGUGGUGGUUCUGUGAUGGCACAGGAUGUUCCAAAGUACAUGAUGGUUGCGGGAGAAAGAGCUGUGCUUCGUGGUCUUGGUCUGAACAUACCCAACAAAUUUUUUACUGUGAACUGAGAAGCCAUAGUUGACACUGCCAAGAAACUAAAUCUACCAAGGAGAAUGACAAUCCCAAGAAACUAAACUACCAUGGAGAAUGACACUCCAAGAAACUAAAUCUACCAAUGAGAAUGACACUCCAAGAAACCUAAUCAGCCAAGGAGAAUGACACUCCAAAGCACAACACAAAUCUCAAACUUCUACUAAAAAAUACCAAAUAAGGAGACUGACACUCCAUGAACACAAAUCAUACUGCAACUGAGGAGAAUGAAACUCCAAAUCAUACUGCAACUUAGGAGAAUGAAACUCCAAGAUUCAUAGAAAGAAUGACACUUUCUUCUUUAAAUCGACAAGAAAACUAAUAUUUACAGAGAUCAACACAUCAAGACCACAGCUUCACUUCAAUUAAACCUCGAAAGUACAUCAAAGACCACAACUUCAAGAAAUAAGCGUUGCAGAUCACCAAACAAUUCCAAAUGACUGCUAUCAACACUUCGAUGAUCUAUUGCACAACCCAUAUACCAUAAUGCAUUUACCAAUUCAGAAGAACACAUAACCAAAAUCCCAAAUCAAAUUCGAGAAAAGAACCCAGAUGAAGAAAAUAUGGGCAAUUCGUCAAACACUUAGGCUGCACAUAGUCUAAACGUUCUGCCAUACCAGAAAACAGAGCACGGAUCAAAAUCACAGAAAAUCGAAUUCAGAAAACUGCUCUGAAAACACCACCAAGAUGAAUGAAGAAGUAGAUAAUCAACAGUGCAAAGAAAGAAAACUCUGCUCUCAGUCACACAGAGUCUCAUGCAUCGUCGUCUUCCGCCAAGACCGAGUGACUCGACGGCAAGGCUGUCGUCAACAAGGCGGCUACACGACUUUCCCAAGAACGAUCAACCCAACAAGAAUACGCAACCAGAACAAUCGCAGAAAACCAAUGAACAUGAAACCCAGAAAAUUCUCACCGAGACAUUAUCACAAACAGUUGAUAUGCUGGAAAGAAAACCAGUAAUCGAAAAACAAAAUCUGAGAACUUGAAUCUUGAAAACCCAGGAAACCCAGAAAAAUCCAACACUCUGAUUUCGGAGACAUCCAACAGCAAUUCACGAAGACUGCCACUCCGUCGUUCCAACUGUGCACCUCUGCAACAACCCUUGAAGACGAUAACAGCGGAAGAAUCAAGAUCGAAGAGGUAGUAAACCUGACAGAGUCCAAGAUCCCAUUUUCCAAUCAGCAACGCAGAAGAGAAAUUCCCAGAUGAAAAACAGAAAUAAUCACCACCGAAUCGAGAUUUGCAUAGCAGAAAGAAGAUGAAUCUCGGCACCAUAAUCUUUUGACGAUCCAGAUUUUGACCGACACUCUGUUCAUAGCCAAAAUCUCUCACAAAUCCCUAAUUUCUUUUGAAUUUCAUAUCCCCAAUUUCUGAAACUAUGUAGAUCUUCAUGAAAACCCAGGCGAAUUAGUCACCAUAUACUGACAACCAUAGCUUCUUUUUGGUAAAGAUUACGCAGAAUCAUGGGUGAACUUCGAUUUUGCUCCCCGCCAAAAUUUCAGCUCUAAAGAACGGUGUGCUGAAGGGAGAAGACCGACGUCUUCCAUGUGAAGGUCAAGUAGUGGUGCCGUGAUGGUCUCGCCAGCUUCAUCUUGAAACCCCGAGGAAAAACCCCAAAACUAAACACAACCCUCGGCGGAAAAAAAAAAUCCAGAUCCAAAGCUAAACACUUAACACUAAUCAAAUAAGCGAAAACAAAAGAAAAUAAUGAAGAAAGAUAGAAAGUAAUGAGAGAAGAGGAAUCGACCACCAAGAUCCAUGGCGUGAGCCUUGGUGGCUCUGAUACCAUAUUAACUACAUUGUAAAAGAUGAAGAAUUGGUACAAAGGAAGAGGAAGAUGAUAGAGAGAACCAGAAAGAUUGUAUUGAUUAAAAUGGAUAAAAUGUAUACAAAAGAACUUAAGGAAAUGAUAGCUAUACAAUCCCUUAUAUAGCCAUAUAACCUAAUUACAAUAAUACCCUUCUAACUAUACUAACCAAUCUUAUCCUUAUGACAACCUACCAACACAUUUCAACUAACUAUAUUCUUCAUUACUAAGUAACCAUGUCAUCACUAAUGACUAUGGUUAAUAAAUUUAACAUAUCAAGAUCUUUCUUUGCGCAAAAUAGAAUGUUUUUGGGUAGAAAUAUAUGAUGAAAUAUGUAUUAUCUUUUUGUAUAAUUUCUCAUACAUCUUGGUGAAAUAGUACCAUGGAAAUUAAGGUUCCACCCUGAAUCCAAUUAGAAGUUGGGUAAGUGCCCCAACUGCGCUUAAACCCUUGUAAGGUUUCUUAAUUCUCCGAAGUGAAACUCAACUUCAUGCCUUCAUGUAUAUACCUACUAUUUUAUGUUCCAAUUCCAGCUUUCAAAAUAGUCUCUUGGAAAACAUGUACCCUUAUAUAUAUUCGUGUGUGUGAUAUAACGCAGGCCUUGAGCAAUGGCGCAUACAAAAGCAUCAAACACCGAGUGGUUAGCACACAAGAAGUUGAGAGAUUAUCUGUGGCAUAUUUCUACUGCCCCUCCUACGAUGCUGUGGUCCAAAACUGCGGUAAUGAACCAUCAACUUAUAGGCAGUUCACUUUGAGGGAGUAUAAACUCCAAACUCAAAUUGAUGUUCAGGAAACUGGUGAGAAAGUAGGGCUCUCAAGAUUUCUCCUUUGAAAAACGUCUCAAAACUGAUGGCAAGCAAACUAUAUAUGUACCUGAUAUAUGUAAAAGAGGACAAUAAUCGUGAAAUAACAAAGUAUGGUAUGUGAACCAUUGUUUUCUUUCUUUUAUUCAUUAAGUGUCAGCUGUCUUCCUAUUGAAUUUGAAGGAUCGUGACCUUCUGGUCCUUCUCUAACAAAAUGAAGAGUUGUCAUGCAUUUAUACCAUCCCUUUCUAGUCUCUUUGUGAUGUUUUUGAGUAAAAAUGGUUGCAUUUUACCCUAUUUUGUGUUAGUGUGCAGUUACAUGUACUCUAGGAUCAAUUUGAGGGCAAAAGAAGUGAAAACAUGCCAUUUUUGGAGCCGAUCCUUAUUCAAACGUGGAGAGAAGUUUAGUGGCCUGUUUUGGAGCCCAAAUAAAGUUGUUACUUGUUUUGAAGUCCAAAUAAAGAAUCCAAGACGAAUCUGGAUUGUUAGAAGAUCAGGAACAGAAUGGGAAAGGAAUUAGGAUAUCUAGCCUGAUUUGGAGGUGCCAAAUAAGGCAAAAAUGUGCAAAAUAAAGGCUAAGUUGUUGGGAUCACUUUGGAAUAUCUUACAACCUUUUUUACCCCAUAAAAACUUGCAUCUUAGCCACUUUUACAUGCCCUUUUUAUUCUAGGCGAAUUACACAAUUCUGAUUACCUAUUUAUCCUCUCUUUUUCGUUCACUCUUAAAAUACCCUAGCUGUUCCAUACACUUUCACCAUUAUUGAAGACUCAUUGCAGAAGGCUGUUCUUUGAGAAUUUCUACAUCAGAAAUGCUUUAAGGGUUUCCUCUCCUAAAUUUAUUUUCACUUAUGUUGUGUAUUUUCGUUUUAAUUUUUGUGAACAUGAUGUGUAACUAAGUUCAUAACUAGGGAUUUCGAUGUAGCCUUGCAAAAUUGAUCCAUGUUUUUAAGUUGAAGUAUGCAGUUCAUCAAUCUGCUUCUUGUUUCAUUCACUGAAUCUAUUGUUAAAUUUGUUUGUUGAUUUUAAUGUUUGAUCACCAUUAGGGUUAACUACAAAUCAUUUAAUCAAGAUUAUAGUAAACAUCAUGCUUAAUCUUGGUGGACAUGUGAAUGAAUGAAGAGAAUGUUAUGCAAACAUCAUGUCAUGUAUUUUCUUUGGUUAUUUAAUGUUUUCUUGCAUGGUAAAGACUCUUAAUUAGGAACCGAAGUUGAACAUCCCGAUUAGGUUGCAAAUUAGGAGAAUUUGAUCAAAACCACACAUCAUAUGGCUGAUCAUAUAUAUGUAAAACGAACUCAGGAAACAGGUUGGUAGUUGAAUAUGAUAUAACUUUAUAAACAUGGAUUUGGUUUUGUAAUGGUGAAUUCGAAUCCUUGGCCUCAUUUCCAUUGCUUCUACAUCAAUAUAUUAUUCGCUACUACAUUCUUGCAUUUUAAUUUAAUUAAGUUUACAGCACAAAAACUACUCUCAAUUGGUUACUUUCAUACUUUAGUUAGGGUUCUAUCAAAGUUAGCAACUUAUAGAGGUCCAAUUAGUCCCUGUGGUUUGACACCCUUACUUGUGCCAUUAUACUAACCAUAUUUUUACACUAGGAAGGAACACAACAAGUUGCUGUCACUAGAUACUAUUAACUUGAAUGAAUUUUCCUAGCAAGAAUCUUUUAAUUCUCUUUAUUAUCAUCUCUAGAAAAAUUCAUUCAAGCUCGAUAUCAUUUGGGGGUGUGCUGUUGUAUCUAGAAUUUUGUUGUCGGUCACAUGUAGUUUUGAUUUGGAUAGUGGUUUUCUGACUUUUGAGAUUUACAACGGCUUUGUACCAUUUUUGGGUUUAAUUUUGAGUGGUUUUGUACCAGUUUGGGCUUUGAUGUGGAGAUUUGGGAAUUUGGAUUUUGAUCCCAUCAAUUUGAAAUGGCGUGAGUUCACUUAAAUUUGUGGAAGUUACAAGACCAUCGCCCCUCACUUAAAUUUGUGGAUGUUACAAGACCAUCGGCCUCGUCUUUGCCAAACUUGUCAUUUUAUUUUUCUGCCGAGAGGUUAACUUGGAUCCAGUGCCUUUGUCAAAGUAUUCCUUUGAUGCCUUCAUGUGUAACCACAUAUAUUGGUCCAGGAGCCCAUCAUGGUGAUGACAACGUGUAUAGCAUUGGGGCCUUGAAGCUUUCUCUUUCUCCCUUGUUAGUACUUCCUCCUCCAAGAUUGUGGACUUUCUGAAAGAUAUGUUUGUUACAGGACAUCUCUUAAGGUCACUUUGUUUUACUGCUUCUUUCUUUUCUUCUACUACUUUCCGGUAGUUUCCUGGCUGUUUCGGCAUAGAAUUUUGGUUGUGCGCUCAAAUUGCUUCCUGGUCUCCUUUUACAAGGACAAGGUUUGCAACCUAUUUGACACACUAAAAGAAACUUCUAACUGCGGUGCUUGACAAGAAUGGAGAAGGCAGUCUCUUGACUCUCUUCUCAAAACUUAUGCGCAUAGGGUAUUCACACCCUAUCUCUCUUUGUAGAAUCCAAGUUAUGGAAAUGAAUAGAGCAGAUGUUUCCUUUCUUGGCACGAAGGAGCAAAAGAGAGUAAUUUGGUUCAAUUUUGGCAGGGGACCAUCCCCUAGAAAUUCAUGGGGUUAGACAACAUCUGUCAUAUGAGUCAUGAGUAUUUGUUAGGAUACCAUACCAGAUGGCACAAUAUAAUGGUGACAAGUGUACAAUAGGUUGUUAUUAGUUAGUUGGUAAUAGGAGUUUGGCUAUUAAAUAGUGGUUUGUUAGAGAAAGUAAGAUAAUUAUGAAAUAAUAUGAGUAUUUGUUAGUAUUCUCUCUAUACAAUCAAGGAAGAAGUAGAGCAAGGUUCUAAUAUUGGUAUCAGCCAGUUCGAUCCUGUCAAUCCUUCCCUAUUGUAUGACGCGGCAAGCUUCACAGAAGAACAUGGAAUCAAUAGUUUCUAGUUUGGAGAGCAAAUUCAAUGAUUUCAAGACUUCGCAUGAUGAACUCAAAUCAACACAGGAUUUGCUUCUUCAUCAAAUGCAGUCGAUCAUGGCACAUUUUAAUAGCGGUUCUAUGGGUGACACUUUAGAAGCCACGAUCGGUGAUCCCCAAUUUCAAGAAAGAAUGUACCCAAAUUUCAACUGUCAAGAAAAUGGGUAGAAUUUCAAUUAUCAAUCGCGACCACCGUUCUUGAAGAUGGAUUUUCCUAGGUUCAAUGACAGGGAUGAUCCAUUGGGUUGGAUCUAUAAGGCUGAACAUUACUUCGAAUUCUUUAAUAUCGAAGAAUCGAAGAAAGUAAGGUUAGCUUCUUUCCACAUGGAAGUGGAAGCUCUCUAAUGAUUUCAAUAGGCAAAGUGUUUGGUUAAUUACCCAACAUGGGAUGAAUUUUCCAAGAUUUUGUGUCAGGAAUUUGGGCAUUCAGAGUUGGAGGAUUUAGCAGAGAAUUUGGUGAAGCUAAGACAUAAUGUUACACUACGAGAAUAUGUGAUGGAAUUCAGGAGAUUAGUUAAUCGAACAAGGGAAAUCAGCCCCUCACUUCUCAAGUUUUGCUUCAUUGGAGGCUUGAAACUUGAAUUGUGACAUGAUAUGAAGAUUUUGAAGCCCAAAGAUGUCAUGGAAGCAUUAGCUUUUGCACAGCAACUCGAUGCUAAAUUGGCAGACCUCAAGGUGAAAAUUUUCCCUAAAGCUUCUACAGUUCAAUCAACCUUUCGAUCUCCUUUGCAGAACACAAAUUCCAAUUCUUUACUUGAAAAUAGACCUAAAAUGCCUAAUGUGAGAAGACUUACUUUUGAAGAAGUAUAUUUUUAUAGGAAGACUGGGUUAUGCUUUCAUUGUAAGGAGAGAUACUAUAAGGGUCAUAGUUGUGAAAAGAAGCAUUUACUGUUGAUUGAUGUGCAAGAAGAUGAAAAUGGUGAUCAUGCAGUGUUAGAAACUGAAGAUUUGGAGAUUACAACUUAUGCUUUGUUUCGUACCCCUACACCAUCAUCUAUCAAAACUAUAAGAGUUAUUGGUUUUGUUAAACAAUGUCUUGUGACUAUCUUGGUUGAUUCAGGCAGUUCCCAUAACUUUGUGGAUUUUGGGUUGGUUAAAAGAGUGAAAGGAAACUUGGAUACAGGACAUACUUUUAAUGUCAAAAUAGAUGAUGGGGGCAAAAUGUUUACUUAAGGCACAUUGGCUUAAGUACCUCUUAAGAUUUAAGAUUAUGAGUGCGUAACAAAUUUAUAUGCAAUUUCAUUGGGAGGGUGUGGUGUAGUGAUCUGAGUGCAAUGACUCAGAACCUUAGGACCAAUCUUGUGAGAUUUCGAGAAGCUAUAUAUGAAGUUCCAAAAAGGCUCUUCAACAUACUGCAUUGCUAGUCCAGAGUCACCUUUGGAACAAUUAGAGGAUAUCUCAGCCUUGCAGAUGUCCAAACUUGUGCAGCAAGAAACAACUGUGGGGCUAUUUUAUGUCAUAUUUAGUCAGUGGAUGUGUUUAUUCAACAUAUGGAGCCUGGAACAGUGGAUCAACAAAGAGACCACAUUUCUGAAGAUCAACAACAGCAAUUAAAGCAGUUAUCGGAAGAUUAUGAAAUGGUUUUCAUCACUCCUACUACACUACCUCCUCAUAGAUCUCAAGAUCAUCAAAUUGCAUUGUUGGAAGGUAGCAAACCACUUAAUAGUAGACCAUAUAGGUAUGGUCCAGUACAUAAAUCAGAAAUUGAGAAAUGUGUGAAGGGAUUAUUGCAAUCUGGUUUCAUUAGAACCAGUAACAGUCCAUAUUCUUCUCCAGUGAUCUUAGUAAUGAAAAAAAAGUGGACUUGGUGCAUGUGCAUGGAUUACAGAGGCUUAAAUGACAUUACCAUCAAAGAUAAGUUCCUUGUUCCUCUCAUUGAUGAGCUACUCGAUGAAUUAUUUGGUGCACAAUUCUUUUCUAAACUGGAUCUGUAACACCCCGGUCCCAAAAUAUUUGUAUAUUUUGGAAAAAUAAUUAUGGUAGGCCCAACCUAAAAACAUAGCUAAUUUAUUUUCUUCUCUUGGAUCAAUUUCCAUCUAUAUACUAAUUCUUGAAUAUUUAAACACAUUUAUUUUAUGGCUACAUCUAACGUCUCGUUAGAUUGCCUACGUACCCUCAACAGGGAUCAAGCCUUUCGUAGUUCAAAACUUCAAAAUUUAAACCAAAUCCGAAAUAUUCCUUUAAUCCAGCAUAUACCAAAAUCGUAAUAAUAUUCAAACCACAGCAAUUUUGAUCUUGAAGACAUAAUUUGAUAACGAAAUUCGCAUAAAGAGCAAUAGUCGACUUCUUGGCCGUGCGUCGCCGCACCCGCCGAAGCGGUUGGCGGUCGGCCGCCUCGAUUCGUCGGAAACUCAACUAUUUCUAAAAAUUACCAAAAAUUACAGGAAUGAAGAUCUCAAUGUGUAGCGUAACUUUCAUACCUGUGACCAAGGGCAAUUUAACUCGGAAAUGCUCCAAUUUGCCUCGAAUCCGUCGGGAACCCUAGAAAUGGGUGUUCUUGAUUCGACUCCAUAGCAGCUCCGACGCCCCAAAACUUGUUUGGGCUUUAUUCCUGGGUUCUUAAGGAACAUAUGGGUGGUGGAAAUGGGAGAGUUUGCUUCAGAUUUGAUGGAUCGCAACAAUGAACUCGCGCACCCCCUGGGGUUUUGCACAUUUUCAGAGCCAAUACCUAUCUAAUUUGUGAUAGAAUCAGUCAAGUGGAGGUCAUGGAACCUUUUUAAGAUGGUUUGGUAGUAUAAUUCGUCGAAAAAACCGAUGAAAAGCCACCGGAGGAGGUGGAGGAAGCCGGGUCGGGUUGAUGACAUAGAACCGGGUCGAAGGAUCCGGUGUACUUCCUUCCCCUCAUUUCCCCUCCUUUCUCUCUUCUCUCAUUGGUUACUCUCUCUCUCUCCCCCUUUUCUGAUUGGCCCUUCUCUCCCUCAUUUCCCUCCUUUAUCUUCCAUCUCCACCGCCUAACCUUUCUUACUUUUAAUCUGGGCCACACACAUGGCCUUCCAGAUUUGGCUCCAAAAAUCUUGAGCAUUAUAGAAAUGAUAAAUUUACCAUUUUAUCCCCGACUUUAAACGUUAAUAACUUCUUCGUUCUAACUCCGUUUCACGAACGGUUUGCGCCUACACGUUCGUGAGGUCGAGCUCUAUUUAAAAAUAUAAAUUUUGACUUCGAAAGGUCUAUGUAUUUUAAAUAAUUAAGGUCCAAACCUUAAACCUCGUAACUAGUUUAAUUUAAAACUAAACUUACACAAAUUAUUAUAAAUUCUUGAAAAAUCAUAUAAAAGCUCAAUAAUACAAAUACGUUGAUUAAUAUAAUUUCCGGAAACAAAACUGUAAAACUUCUCGAUUAAAUUCUUCAUAAUCAUAAAUCGAUUUAUUUCGAUUUUCUCCACAUAUGCAUAAUUAUGAAUAUAUAAUUCAUAUAUUUAAAUUUUUAGGGUAUUACAGGAUCUGAGAGUUGGUUACCAUCAAAUGUAUGCAUCCUAGUGAUGUAGAAAAGAUAGCAUUUAGAACUCAUGAUGGCCAUGAUGAAUUUCUAGUUAUGCCAUUUGGUUUAACUAAUGCACCAGCUAUAUUUCAGUGUCUUAUAAAUGAUAUUUUCAGGCCACAUUUAAGAAAAUUCAUCUUGGUUUUCUUUGAUGACAUCUUGGUUUAUAGCUUUUCUUGGAGUUCACAUUUAUAACAUUUGAAAAUGGUAUUUGAUACAUUAAAAGUGCAUAGUUUAUUUGUGAAGAAAUCAAAGUGUGUUGAAAAUCUCAAGUCGAAUACCCAGGACAUAUUGUAUCGAAACAUGGAACACAUAAGCAACUCAAGCAUUUCAGACUUUAAAACAGGCAAUGUUGUCCCCUCAAGUGCUUUCUCUACCUAAUUUCAGCAAGCCUUAUAUCAUAGACAGUGAUGCUUCAGGUAUAAGAAUUUGUGUAGUUCUCCAACAAGAGGGCAAGCCUAUUACUUUCACUAGUAAGGCCUUAUUUCCUCGAAAUCAAGUUUUAUCAACUUAUGAGAGAGAUGCUAGCUAUUAUACAUGCAAUACAUAAGUGGCAAUCUUACUUGGUGGGAAACCAUUUCAUCAUACAAACAGAUCAUCAUGGCUUAAAAUAUUUCCUUCAAGGCCAAGCUCACACUCCAUUUAAGCAAAAAUGGGUCGCCAAAUUGUUGGAAUUUGACUAUGAAAUUCAAUUUAAGCAAUGGAAGGAUAACCAGGCUACUGAUGCCUUAUCUAGAUCUCAUCUCAACACUAUUUCACCAUCACUGUAAUCCUUAGAUGAAGUUCAAUUGGAUGUUAUCUUAUCCCUAUUCUAGUUGGAUGAAUGAUCUUCAGAGACACAUUGAGAAAGAUCUUUGGAUAAUUUCAAAAAGACAACCAGUGCUUGCUAUGGAGGGUGAUUCAGCACCUAUUGCCAAUCUAAAAUUUCAGUGUGAUAAUGGUUUUUUAAAAUACAAAGGAUGGAUUAUGAUUAGUCCUACCAAUGAAUAGAGAGAUAAAAUCUUCAAUGAACACCAUUCUAGCCCCACUGCAGGUCAUGAAGGAUUCUUGAAAACAUAUAAGAGAGUGUCAAGAUCUUUCUAUUGGGAAGGGAUGAAAAAAGAAAUUUAAGGAAGAGUUACAGCUUAUGCAACCUAUCAAAUGCACAAAUAUGAGAUCUUAUCUUCUCCAGGCUUGUUACAACCUUUACCAAUUCCAACCAAGGUUUGGGCUGAUAUUUCAAUAGAUUUCAUUGUGGGAUUACCUCAUUGUAAGGGAAAAUCUGUGAUUUGGGUGGUGGUAGACAACUUGUCCAAAUAUGCACACUUUGUGGCAUUAUCACACAUAUAUUAUGCUGUAUUAAUAGCUCAGUUAUUCAUUGAUCAUUUUUUAAGUUGCAUGGUAUGCCACAAUCAAUAGUGAGUGACAGAGAUCUAGUCUUCAUGAGUAAAUUUUGGAAAAAGUUUUUCAAUCUUCAGGGAUUAGCCUUAUGUUUUAGUUCAGGCUACCAUCCACAAACUGAUGGCCAAACUGAGGUCCUCAAUAGGUGUUUGGAAACCUAUCUUCGAUGCUUUUGUAGCUUGCAACCUAAGAAAUGGGCAAAUUGGCUCUCUUAGGCUGAAUAUAGCUAUAACACUAGCUAGCACAGUUCUACCAAAAUAACUCCAUACGAAAUGUUAUAUGGAUAGCUUCCUCCAAUCAUUACUGCAUAUGAAAGUGGUACAACAAAGGUUGACUCUUUGGACCAGGCUUUACAUGAAAGAAACAGAAUGUUAGCUCUUCUAAAAACUAAUUUGGAAGCAGCUCAGUGCAGGAUGCGAGUUCAAGCAGAUAAACAUAGGAUUGAGAGAGUGUUUGCAGAAGGAGAUUGGGUUUAUUUGAGAUUGAUACCAUAUCAACUCAAGUCUUUGGCUUCACAUUAUUUUCACAAACUGCAACCCAGGUUAUAUGGUCAUUUUUCAAAUUUUGUCUAAGGUUGGUGUAAUUGCUUAUAAGUUGAAAUUGCCUAAACACUCGAAAUUACACCAUGUGUUUCGUUUCUCAUGUCUGAAGAAACACUUGGGAUCACAAGUGCAAAACACAGUCCAUUUACCUGUGAUUACAGAAAAUGGAAUACUGCAAGAUGUACCUAUUGCAAUUUUGGAAAGAAUUAUGACUAAAAAGGGUAAUGUUGCUGCCACAAAAGUCUUAGUUCAAUGGCAGAACCAUACUCAAGAAGAUGCUACAUGGGAGUUGUGCCAUGAACUAAAGUUCAAAUUUCCAAAAAUUGUUAAUCAUUGAAGUUCAAAUUAUUGUUUUUCUUGUUUCUGAACUUUGUAAUUCUAGGUUGUUGUUGUUGUUCUGUGUUUUUCAAUUGUAAGUUUGGUUUUAAAGGGGGGUAUUGUUAGGAUACCAUAUCAGAUUGCAUAAUAUGAUGGUGACAAGUGUACAAAAGGUUGUUAUUAGUUAGUUGGUAAUAGGAGUUUGGCUAUUAAAUAGUGGUUUGUAAGAGAAAGUAAGACAUUUAUGAAAUAAUAUGAGUACUUGUUAGUAUUCUCUCUAUACAAUCAAGGAAGAAGUAGAGCAAGGUUCUAAUACUCUUUACUUGCAAGACAAGACAAUUUACCUUGCGGGCUAGCCGAUAUUGCAUAUUUUUGCAGAGGUUAUUUAGUCCAUAUUAGGACUUUCUUUGACUUGGAUGCCAAGGAAAAACUCUCCAAAUAUUUUUCCACGUAUUUUAUCGCCUCUUUCUUUUUACUGAAUUUUUUUUAUGCCAAACAACCAUACAAUAGAAAACCAAACGAUCUAAACAAGAACAGUAGAAAGACAAUCUCAUUGCCUCUCUCUCCAUCUUGGUCGAUCUUACGUUCAGGUAUGCUAUCUCUCUUAAUUACUGGAAAGUCUACUACUGUUGAUUUCAAAGGGUUUAAGGCUUAGGAUUUAGAAUUUAGGGUUUUGAAAAUGGUAAGCAAAUAUUCUUAGAAAUAUUUCCCCUUUUUGUUAGAAAGUUUGGAACUUUGGCAUCCAAAGUGAAGGUUCCAAUCCUGAUUUCCAAAAUUUGAUGAUUGAUUUCAACUGAAAGUAACUGUAAUCAUAAUUUUGAUGGAGUUGUAGUUAAGGAAGGUAGAAAAAACUGAAACAUACUAUUAACUGACACUUGUCACUCAGUACUACCGUCUGAUAAUAUUUCUCUUCGUUUAGAAGUGAGAGGUCUUAGGUUUGAAUCUCAUGGAUGGCGAAUUUGAUACCAAAUUAGGUUGUUCAUUGUGACUUAGCCGAACUAUCCCUUCCCCUCUAGUGUAAAAAUAUCAAACCAACUAAUUAUCGUUGUAUAAAAAAAAUAAACAAACGCACUAAUGCGCACUCAUACAAUCUAGUCCACCUUUUUGGUUAAUUUAUAUAUAUCAAACCAACUAAUUAUCGAAACCAACCGUUUAUAAGACCAAACCCUAACUUGCUUGCGAAUUAAGCAACUGCCAAAGAUUCUUAACUCUAUUAACUAAUCAAGGCAAAACAUAGUGUAAAAAGUACGAAACAACUCUUUAAGUAUUAUUCCACGCAAAGGGAUAAAAUAAAAAAAAUUAAAAAAAAAAAAAAAGAUAUAAAACUCUUUACUUAUUGAGUCCAAAUUUGACAUCUUCUUGUCGAUGCCUCAUGGCCAAAAUAGAAAUCUUCCGACAUCCGUAAAACUAAAGUGCUAAGAAACAAACAUUAAUGAAAAAUGGGAAAAUGCGGUGGCGGCUUUAACGGGAUCUUUCUAAUUUUAACCUCUAAAAUACAUCGACAACAUCGUUUUAAUUUUAACCGUUAAAAAAAGGAAAAAAAGUAAUGUUAGGUAGGUUAAAUUUUAAAUCAAAUUUGCAAACUAAAAUGUUGUGUCACCAAUAAGAAAUAAACAAGUUAAUCAACACUUAAGUAAUAAUCUAAUCAUCUACUUCCAUGUCAUUUAGUUUACAAAAUUUAGCUUACAAAUUUAGUGUAUGUAAACAGGACAAGGAUUGUCUGCCCUCCGCUUCCGGUGCCCUCCCCAUGCCCUCCUGUUUUGUGUGGUCACGGUUAAGCCAUGUCAGCAUUUUAUAUUGUUUUUUUUAUAGAUAUAAUAAGACAAAAAUGAAUAGUAAUAUAGAUAUUGACGUGGCUUAACCGUGACCACACAAACAGAAGGGCACGAGGAGGGCACCGAAAGUGGAGGGCAGACAAUCCUUGUACAUGUAAACAUUACCCAAAAGAAAAAAAGGUUGUUAUGCUGCUUUUGGUUGUGAAAAAGUGAAAACUUUUGUAAUCAUGUAGUACUAUGUCAUAGUGUUUUGGGAACCUAAAUAAAAAGCUUAUAAUAUUGUUUACUUUAACGAAAAAUCAUAUUUGUAUACUAAAAAGUCAAUCAUGGUACUACUCACUUUAUCUUUUAUUUUGUCCUUAUCGUUAAACUCAAAGUUUUCAAGUCAUUUUCAUUAGUUUUCGUUUUUUUUCUUUCUAGUUUUUGUUGUGGGAAUUUUCUUUUUCUUGACAAAGCUUUAGUUAGAGCAACUCCACCAUUAGAGCCCUUCCCCCAGGCAAUCCAUUAUUCAAUCCACCAUGUGAACAGUAACUACCAUAAUGAACAGUAACUGUCUUUUGCAUCUCCCCCCUUUCACUUGAAUAGCCCUGGCACUAGGCAAUAAAAUAUUUAUUAAUUUUUUUUUUACAAAAUAAUACUAAAUAAUUUUUUUUGUAAUUUCGUAUAAGAUAUUUUAAAUCGUUCUCGUUAUGCCACGUGUCAUUUACCCAAAACGACUAUUAUUGGUCAUAGAUUUCGAUAAUUUUUAUCCAAUGUCAUCGUGCCACGUGUCGUUAUCUUUUCAGAAUCUUUGAGGAUAGAUUUCGAUCAGAUUUUAAAUCAUUCUCGUUGCACCACGUGUCAUUAUUCGAAAAGAUAAUUAUUGGUGAUGGAUUUCGAUAAAUUUUUUAUCCAAUGCCGUCGUGCCACGUGUCGUUAUCUUUUCAGAAUCUUUUAGGAUAGAUUUCGAUUAGAUUUUUAACGAAUGGCGGCAUGUCACGUGGCACUAUCUACAACAUAAUCAUUUCAGAAUCCUCCAUAUAAUCCAUCAUCCAUCCUUUUAAAUCUUACACCAAUUUUCUCAAUAUCUCUAUCAUUAUUCAUAGUUUCUGUUUCCUUCUUCACCAAAUCAAAAUCUGUAUCAUUAUUCAUAGUUUCUACUUACAAUGUCUUCUUCUUCAAGCAUGAUGUGGAAAAUCGAUCAAGAAGAGGAAGAAUUGUUUAACCAAUCUGAAGGAAUGUUCAAUCUCCAUAUAGCUCAAAAUGAGAAGGAAGAGGGUGAGGAGCGGAGAAGGAGAGAUGACGAAGCAAGAAUGGCCAGAGACUCACAUUCUCGUCGAGUCAUUCAAG